UCCUCCAGACCUCUGGUGUCCUUAUCAAGAAGAAGGUCAAACCGUAGCCUUUCUGCGCGCAGUUUCUUUAGUUUGAAACGGCACCAACAUUUUGAGCACAUUCAAAGGACUGUGUGCACGAACAAUUUGCUACUUGUUUUGGGCUUCUUCUUCUUCCUCCUCCUCCUCCUCUUUGUUUUAAUUUUUUUUUUUAAAAUUUUUUUUUUUGAUUUGGGAGGGCGGGGGCAGGACUCAGGAGUUUGCUAGUAUUACAUAUGCAUUCCUGUUGGUUGGGGAAAUGCUAGUUCUUACUAAUCACUCUUUUAUUUGAAGGUGAAGUGUGGAGAAUUUUCUGCGGGUACAUACAUGCAGUUUUCAUAUUCGAAUAAGCAGCAGAUUGAAGAGCCAAAAUGUUGAGGAUCGAUGGACUUGGAAACUGCAGCUUGGCCUGCUAUUGCUAUAGGACAUGCUAUUGCUGCACAAAGUUACGAAAGAAAGAAGCAAUGCGACAUUUCAUUGUGAUAGUGAUUUAAGCAUCUAUCAUUUGGAAUAUAUGUCAAAAAUUACACCAACUUUAUAACUAUGACGUAAUGGCAGCUACCCGAUAGCAAUAUUCUCCUCUCAAGUUAACUGAUAAUUAGCAAGGAAACCCCACCCCACCCCACCCCACCCCCACCCCAUUGCAUGUUAUAUGUUAUUCACAGCCAAAUGAUUGCAAUCAGAAAUCACAUCUUUUUUUCCUUUCUUCAACCAAAUAUUAAUGGCUGGCUUUAAAGCUGAUAACAUAAUAAUUAAACCUAUAUAUUCUGACAAAUUUUUUUUUUUUUGGUGUUGGUGCAUUCGCUAAAUGAUUGAUCAUCAUCAUGUCAGAAUUGAGCGUCUAGCUAGGAACUUCCUUCAAAAAUGUUUCCGCUCAUUCAAGAUCACUUGCCAAAUCUGUUGUUGGUCAAGAAAACUCGAAAUUAAUCCACCAUAUGGGAGACACAAAGAAUACAAAUGCCCUCCAAUAAUACGACCAAAGUCAAGUACUUAGGAGCUAAGUUUCUAACAAGUACACGGGACACACGCGGUGGAAAAGAAAGGAGGAACGGAGCCUUGUAGGUCACAAAAGAUGGUUGGGUUGAGAUUCUGAUCGGCACCAUUCAUGUAAAGAUUAAUUAUUGUCACUCACCACCAUUUAGCCAACUCCCACACAAAAGAAAAUAAAAAAUUUUUUUUUAAAAAAAAUAAAAAAUAAAAAAAAUAAAAAUAAAGAAAAAGGGGGCAAAGCUAGCCAAAAAGAGUUGAAACAGCGGAGUGGAGGUGGAUUGGCCAUGACAUUAGGGUAUCUAUCCAUCUCCUUCUUCUAUCCCUGCUGUCCUUCCAAUAAGCAAGCACCAUGCAUGGAACCAGCGCCAUACGCUUGCUUUUUUUUUUUUUUUUUUUUUUUUUUAUGCAUGGUUACGAGCGAAACGAGUGAUGGUGGUCCAAUCGCUUAUAUAUACCAGAUGGUACUACUACUACUAGUAGUAUAAUACUGCUCUACUGAUACGAAUAUAUGAUCAUCGAUUCUCCGGAUAUGUUAAUUUCACUUUGAAAAUACCUUUGAUUCAAAUAGUUUUCUUUCUUUCUUUCCGAGCUGUGACCACUAUGAUCGUUAAUUUGUAGUUUAUGGGCAGCGAUUCCAUCAUAUUUCACAUGUGGCGUUUGGCAUCUCUCUUCCCCCUCAACUUGCACUUGAAUGGUGCAAAUCAAUGCAUAUUUAUAAGUCCCCACCUUCAAAUAAUUGGCUCGGCAUAUUUUCAAUGGUAUUCCGCAAAACCCUAAAACGUAGCCACCAUAAAUGUCAUGAUAUAUGAUGCUCUUUGGAUCCUUUUUGCUCGAGGAAACACGAAGGGAUGUGAUUCAGGCUAGGCUGGGCUGGGCAAUUGUAAACACGCUUUCCUGUCAAAAUUUGGCUAUUUUAUCCGUAAAUCAUCUUGAUCAAUUAAUUUGCUUGAAUUUUCUGGCAAAUGGUAUCGUCACAAUCUAAUUUUAUUUCCACAUUGAAAUGGCAAAAUCACCUACUUUAUGACCAAAUUGUUUCUUGGAGUUUUUUUUUUUUUGGCUCAAAAAAAAAAAGAAUGAAAUUUAAGAAGAUGAGAGGGAAAAGAAAAUUUAAAUUCGUGACCUCUAUGUCGUCUUGAGAGACGCCUCUCUUCGCCGGAGUUGAGAAAAUUGAGAAAAGGAACUUGGGUAUUCAUUUCCGUGCCUGUGGAAAUAAAAUUUGAACUGGGUCAUUAAUGGCAGCGAGUUUUCUAGCUGUAAUGGGGCUGAAGCCCAAAUUGUAACAUUUUUGAUUGCAGAUACGGAGGGAAGGCUGUGCAUCAGUGGUGGCGGUUGCACAAUGGAAGCAACCCAACUAAAUUCGCGGACCGUUGAUGCAAUGAAGUCCAAAAACCAACGUAAGUAAAUCUUCCUUUGGGCCGGAUAGAGGCAUUCAUUUUGUCUUCUUAUCCAGCUGAAUGAAGUUACUUAGACCCAAAAGAGACUGCUAGCGCGACAGCGUCCGUACACAGACACAAACCAAGAGAAACGGAAGCUGCGAGACUGUGAAGGUGCCAAGAAACCUCGUCGGUCAUCAUUUUAUGGAGCUUUCACCCCCUCCAGCAUGCACGUCUGAAUGGCGAAGCCACGUAGAUUUGUCGCCUUCUUCGUCAUGUCCCCCCUUUUUAUUCAUUCAACGCCACCUCUUCCAAGCUUACACUUUCGUCAUCUUGCUCAGAAAAUGUCUCAGAAAAUUUUUAUGAUCUCGCCAUUUUCGUUCUUCAUAUGCUUAAUCUUAGUUUUAUGUUUCACCUGUAUAAAUGUGGGAGCUGCUUCCGAUGAGGAGAGUGAAUCCUAUUUGGGAUCUUUGGUGAAGAAGAAAGAUGAACGGAAGCUAAUUUCUUCGAGUGAAUAUGGAGAGAUAUCAGGGGUUAGUGUUAGAGAGCGGACGGAUUUGUCGUAUCACCUUCAGUUCAUCACCUUGAAGCCAUUUGCUCUUUUCCUCCCCGUUGUAUUACAUGCAAAUAUGGUUUUCUAUGCGCAAACAGGUAAGCAAAACAAGAGCCUAGAGUUUAUCCAAUUAAAUCUUCAUUGUAUGUUGCGGUCUUUAAAAGGACUCGUACUAUUGCUAAUUUUUGGUGCAUUAUUAAGUUACUAUAUAUUGGUGUGUGAAACAUGGGAUGUGGUGAUUCAGAUUCAUCAGGCCAUGAAUUCAGAAUUUCUCUUUUUCCCCACAAUGUUGAAGUCGUGGCCUAAAACUUUGCCAUGAAAUAUGAGAGUGUUGCAGGUUCUGGGAAGCUGAGUUACACUACCGAAGCGGGCCGCAUGCUGACAAAGACGUUGAGACAAGGAGAUACUUUGGAACUCAAUCCAGGGACUAUUUUCUUCAUGGAGGCCAUCCACUGUGUGGACGAACUAAGAGUUUACGCUAUCUUUGGUAAUUUGAGGGAACAUUUCCGCGUAAGAACUUUCAACGCCCCUGAAUUUGUUUCUUUUAUCUUAUACUAAUUUGUAACUCUUCAGUUGGGUUUCCAUAGGGACCGGCAACGACAGCACCAUACUCUAGUUUCCGCCACCUGAUCCUCGGCUUUGAUAAAAUGAUUCUGCAACUAACCUUCAAGGUACAUCAGAAUUUGGGUUUAUUUAGUGGGUGUAAUUGCCUCCUUCCCAGUUAACUAGCAUGUUUGGCUUGAUUUAGGAAAAGAGACAGUAUGCGGUUUGGAUUAAGGGCUUCGAUCUUGUUAAAUGAAUUUAGUGAUGCAAAAUUGUGUUUGAAGGUGCCUGAAGAUGUGAUUAAAGAGAUAAUGAAUAAACCGAACCCACCGGCCAUUGUUUCCAGCGUCUCGGGAACAAUGGAAAAAUUAUGGGAUUUGGAAGCUCGUUUCAUUAAAGAAUUAACAAGAAGCACGGGGCCCAACCUCCUCAACAUGCUUGGCUUAGAACGAGAUUGUGGGAACCAUAAUGGGUGGAGAACAACAUCAAACAAGAAAAAGCUCCCAGAUUUCAAAGGUUUCAAAGGUUCCAACUUUGGUGUUUCCGUAACAAAUUUGACCAGAGUAAGCGUGGCUACAGUCAGUUAGCUCUUAAUUGGCUCCCUGCAUUAUGCUGCAAUGCCUCAAAUAACUAAUUAUUUAAAUCAUCAACAAUUGACACAUAUGAUGAUUGACUCGAAUGUUUAUCUGACAAAAUGGAAAAUUCCAGGGAUCGAUGGUGGCGCCGCACUGGAAUCAAAUGGCGACUGAGAUAGUAAUUGUUUUACAAGGAAAAGGAAUUGUUCUAGUGGUUUGUUCUAGCAUUUUUGCUAAACAAAAUGAAUGCAAAAACAUGAGGUUUCAAGUGGGAGAAGGUGAUGUGUUUGUCGUGCCAAGGUUCCAUCCUACAGCUCAAAUGUCUUUCAGUGAUGAAACAUUUGUUUUCAUGAGAUUUAGUACCACAAGAAAGAAAAUUAGCCAUCAAUAUCUGGUUGGUAAAACUUCCAUUUUCAAGACCUUAGGCAAACGUAUAUUGGCAGCAUCACUGGGUGUUAAUGAAACAAUAGCAGACAUGGUUAUGGCUUCACAGAGGGACUCCGUAGUCUUGGAUUGUAAUUUGUGUGCAGAGGAAGAAUUAAGGAUGAUGGAGGAGGAAAUAGAAAAGGCAAAACAGACGGAACCAGAGACCCCAGAAGCAGAAGUAGAAGCUGGAGAAGGAACUGAAAAACCAGAAGAAGAAUCAGGGGAAGGGAAAGAUCGACCAGAGAAACCAGAAGCUAGAGCCAGGGAAUAUAAAAAUGAAGUCACAAUCAAAGAAAAGAGAUGAGCAUAGGCUUGAAAGGGAUGUAAUUCAAACUCAAUAUUCAGCUUUUGUUGUUAAUCAGAUUUGCAUUGCUGAAGUAAUUAGUGUUUAUUUCUAUGUACAAUUGCCGAUUUUUCACACAGAGAAGGUUGGUGGCAUUUGGGGGUGUGGUAUUGUUCUGCAUGGCAGACGACUCCUAGGACUCGUAUUUCAGUAUGGUAUAUAUCUAGGAGCUGAGUAGCCUUUCCAAUUUCUUAAUCACGCACGCGCGUAGCAAUAUCAUAAAAUUGACCAAAUCAUCAUCUACUUGUAUUUCUGCAUAAACUGAUCUAAUAUCUUUCGUAACUUUAUCAGAGUAUAACAUUUUGUGAAUCAUAGAGGAAUGCAAAACUAAUUAUUUCAGCUCCAUUCUUGCCUUUGACUUUCAUCUCGUAGUCAACUUAUCAGCAAAUUUACGGAAAUAAUGUGCAAAUGACAAUGAAGAGAAUCCAGCAGUGAAGUGCUGCAUUAGCAUUUAUAUCCAUGUUAUGCAGAUACCCUUAAAUGUGUUUGAAAUUUCAAAACUUUGCCCUUCCAAUUUGUAGGUUCAUGAGCAGCUGGGGGAUUUCACAAAUCUUAGAAGGGAAAGGAGAAAGAAAAGAGAGUCAAAUAAAAAAAAUCUCAGAAUCACAUAACUUAUGUUCCUGCCACCCAAAUUGAGUUUUCAGGACGGAUGAUUAUUAAUUUUUCUGUAAAAAUAGAACGCAGCCCCCAUUUUGCAGGUUGCUCUUUGUAAUAUACCUCGAAAGAAUGGAAAUGGAAGUAUGGCCCUUUUUUUUUUUUUUUAAUUUUAAUAGAAAUACCCCAUUAUCUACAAUGGUCAUGAAUUGACCAUUGCAUAGAAAAGUUCAAGAUCAUUGCAUCAUUAGCCUACUCAAAAUCGGCGCUCUCGCCUGAAGACAAGUUUGAAUAAAAACCACCCAGCUACGGCUAAGGUCUCAUGCAUUUUUGCAUGAAUGUUUCAACAUGUUCAACACGAACAGCUGCCUCGUGGCACCUUCAAAUUGCCCCGUGUCCAUGCAAAAGCCACGUCGCUUCUCUAAUCCCUGUUUCCAAUUCCCCCUCCCCCUCCCCUAUAAAACCACCGGUUCUGACCAGCUCCUUUCUUCACUUCUCAUUAGUCCAAAAAUUUCAAAAAUGUCCACCGAAAAAUUGUUGUCAGCAUCUUCAAUUUCGCUCUUAGGCUUUGGUUUAUGCUUAUUUCUCUGCGUGCAUGCUACCGCUGGGGAAGAUGGUCAGACUGUCCCCGGAGCAGGACAUUUAGUAAAGAAAGGCGAAAGGCAGCCAAUAAUCUCAACUGGAUUUGGAGAGGUCUCGGGAGUUAGAGUUAGCGAUGGAAACGAGACUUUUAAUAUUCACCUCAUCACCUUGGAGCCCAACUCCUUGUUUCUGCCUGUUAUGCUGCAUCAAGACAUGGUGUUCUACGUUCAUACAGGUAAUUUUAUUAUUAUUAUUUUUGUUUAAAGGUGCUUGGACUCGGGCUGAACCUUCAAUUCCUUGAAUUCAGCUGUAUCUAAUUAGUCUGAUAGUGUCUAUAUUAUCAAGAACAAGAAAUCACCAGUAGUGACUUGUCUUAAUCAUUGAAUUUUGUCAAAUUUUGCGGAGUUCAUCCUGCUGUUUGUGUACAGGGAGCGGAAAUCUGAGCUACAGAGAUGAAAAUAAAAGAGAGAAUACGACCAUAAGACGAGGAGAUGUUUUUCGUCUGGGAUCAGGAAGCGUUUUCUUCAUACAGAGCGACGUAGGUCUGGAGAGACAGAAGCUAAGAAUUUAUGCCAUAUUUGGCAAUGCAGGGGAGGACUUGAGAGUAAGAGACUAAGAGCACUAUUUUUGUCAUUUCACUGAUUUUGUCAAUUGACAAUGGAUGCCUUCAGUUUUCAUACGUGAGUGACCAUGACCAUGAAUAUUGCACUAUCUAAACUUCUUGAUCUUAGGAACCGACUGAAUACGGACCAUACUCGAGCGUUCGCGACUUGGUUCUUGGAUUUGAUAAGAAAAUUCUCCAGGAGACCUUCAAGGUAUGUUAUCUAAUCUAGCAUGUGGUAAAAAGAGUAAAGAGAGACAGGACUGUUUCUUGAAAUCCCUCAUUUUGGGUUGUAACCCCUGGUGCAAAAUGGUACUCAAGGUUCCUGAAGAAGUGAUAGAGGAAAUGACAAGCGGAAGGAAGCCGGAAGCAAUAGUUCGUGGAUUGCCGGGCACUCAGGAAAAAACCAUACGGGAGAGGGAGUAUCAGUUCAUCGAAGCCGUGUUUGGAAGCACAAGUAUUUUCAGCAUUUUCGAAACCAGCAACAAAGACAAGAAGAAGUCCAAAAAAUUCAACAUAUUCCAAGAAAAACCAGAUUUUGAGAAUUGCAACGGGUGGAGCACAACAGUUACCCGGAAAAAGUAUUCCGUCCUGAAGGGCUCCAAAUAUGGCCUUUUCAUGGUGAACUUGACCCGCGUGAGUUUUUAAUCUGAGUUUGCCUGAAAUUUGUAGCUUGCAGUUAGCAAUAUGCAAGAAUGUGCUACUUACCAUACAAAAUUUUCCCACUCUGUUCUGGGUCUGUGCUAGUAACGUAGUAGCCAUUAGUAAAUAGGUGAUUGCUGAUGGGCUUUAUUUUACUUUUUUUUUUUUUUCUAGGGAGGAAUGAUGGGUCCUCACUGGAAUCCCGAGGCAACGGAGAUAGCAGUAGUACUGCAAGGGAAGGGGAUGGUUCGGGUAGUUUGCCCAAGUCUACCGAACAAAGCAGAGUGCAAAAACGCGAGGUUUGGGGUUGAAGAAGGCGACAUUUUCGCCGUGCAGAGGUUCCAUCCCAUGGCGCAGAUGGCUUUCAACAACGAAACGCUCGUUUUCGUUGGUUUCAGUACAUCAACGGAGAACAAUCACCCACAGUAUCUAGCAGGGAAGGCAUCAGUCCUCAGGACUUUGGACAAGCACAUCCUGGCAGCAUCAUUUGGAAUAAAUGAAACUACCUUCGACAGGCUUGUGAAUCAACAACGCGAAUCGGUUAUCUUAGAAUGCACCUCCUGCGCAGAGGAAGAAUGGAGGAUAAUGGAGGAAGAGAUUGAGAGGGAAAGAGAGGAGGCAAGGCAGAGGGAAGAGGAGGCAAGGAAGAGGGAUGAAGAGAGGAAAAGACAGGAAGAGGAAGCUGAGACGAGAGAAGAGGAGGAGGCAGCUAGGGAGAGAGCAGAGGAGGAAAGGAAGAAGAGAGAGCAAGAAGAAGAGGAAGAGGCGGCACGGAGAAAGAGAGAGGAAGAGGCAGCACGAGAAAGGAGGGAACAAGAGGAAAGAGAACAAGAAGCAGCACAGAUGGAAGAGAAAGAAAGGGAAGCAGCUAAGCGAGAGGAAGAAGAAGCAGCACAAAGAAGACAAGAAGAAGCUGGCCAGGGAGAAGGAGGGCGCCCACACGAAGGGGGCAGGGAAGCACGGCCGCCGGAGGAAGACGGAAGAGGAGGAGUAGGAGCCAGGCAGGAGGAGGAAACUGCAAAGCAACAAGAAAAAGAAAUGGGACAAGAGGAGGAGCAGGGCAAUGGCCAAGGAUGGGGAAGAAGAAUCCUUAAAAAUGCUUCUUGACUGUGUCUAGUAAUGCUCAAAAGUAGACGUUUCCAGUGAGCAUAAAGCUGAAUAAGCAGUUUUGUUUCAGUCUUUGCUUUAUUUUGUGUUUGCUUGUGAAAUACCUUCAGUUGAGAGCUCCAUUAGCGCAUGGUGAAGUCCUUUAAAAGCCAGCUUAUUGAAUUCCUACGAAUGAAUGACUCCAAUUAAUUCCUGCGAUUGAUCUAUCUUAGAACUGCUUGAGCAAGAGCCAAAACUCAGCCAGGUUUUCUCACAUCAUGGACAGGAAUCCUAAACUCGAGCAAUAAAGGAGUUUUCCAUACCUACUUUUCUUACUUUUUGAUGGAUUGCAAGAGAGGAAUAUGUCUCACAAUGAACAAUGGACGACGUAAACGGGUCCUCAAAUAGCCCAAAAAGAUGAAAAAAAAAAAAAAGGACAACGCUUGAAUACCCCCACAGAAAGCAUUUUCAAGCUACAAUAGCACGCAGAAAUGAUUUUGUAAACAUUCUCAGACUAUUAAUACUCAAUUAGAUAUCAGGGACGACCUCUGGGUUCAACGGCAGCUCAAAAAGCUAGGAAACUACUAUCCAUAUCUUACAACUGUAACGGAACACCUUCAUACGUAUCAAAUUUAGUAUCAAAUUUGCAAAAGAAGAGGGAGAAAGGGGGUGAGGAAAUCUGGAAAAUCUCGAAAGCUUUGUAAAGAGAAUAAACACCACGUAUUCAAAGGCCAGAAUGAGGAAAGGACUGUAUAAAGUCAAAUGUAAGAAUUGUAAAAUCUAUGUUUCAGUCGAGCCUGACAAGUCAGAGACAUACGAAACAACCACCGUAAUGUCAUCAAGUUUUCCACCAUAAUAAGAGAAUCCAAUCUCUUGUGCUGCAGUAGAAAAUGGAGUUUGCCUUUCCCUGUCCUGCGCUCGGUGGCGCGCCAAAGCUGCAACUUUUUGUGCUGUCAACUCAGGGGUGAAACCCGAUGUCACUGCUGCACCAACAAUUGUAGUUAUUUCACGUUUAUACAAGUUAUCAAAUAGCCCAUCUGUUCCGGCAACAAUGACAUCUCCCGGUAAAACUGAAAUCUUGAAAACCUGGCCAAAAUAUUUAAAUCUCAUUUAGGAGGACUCCUGUCGGUGAAACACUAUUAGCGUGAACAAUUGAGAUGAUAUUCUUCUCGAGACAUUCUUGAUUAUAAAAGCACCAUGUAUACAAAUUCACUUGCACAAAAGAUCAGUAAGGAGUGUUCCACUAAAUUACCUGACCGGAACUUGGAAGGUCACCCUUAUUUCCUCUUUCCAGUUGAUAGGGAAAAUUGAAUCCAUGCUGCUGGACUGGAGACUCAAAGGUGGUGCUGCCAUCUCUGACCACAAUAAAUCCACUGUCUCCAAGAUUUAUGGCAUGCAGAAACUGUGGAAGAGAACAAAUAUGCACAGAUGACCAUCAGAGGCAUCAAAACUCUUCUCAAGUUCAAAGAGGGAAAAAAUUUGAAGUCUAUGCAACCUCCAGUACAACAAACUAGUGUCUUAAAGAAUCAUUGGCUUUUUCAUGAUCGCUUUAGGCUGUAAUGUGACAGCCAAACCAAUCCAAUAUGCAAGAGUAGGUCUGAAGAAUUGAACAAACACUAAUCUACCAAAAGGCAUCCAAAGAAAGAAUGAAGAAAAUCAGGAGAUUAAGUGUAGUUAGGCAAACUAAUGGCACAGUGUUCUUUCACUUUUACUCAAGUACAAUAGCAUAACCUUCGCCUUUACAGUUAUUUUCUGCAACCUCCAAUAUUCUAGUGGUCCUCAGAGAGAAUCUCCUUUCUACUCAGAUAUGAGGUUUGGUCUCUUGCAGCAAAAAGUACCAGUGCCAAACCGUCAUCGCCUCCAUCUUAUAGGAAAGAUAAAACAGAAUUUCCCAUCUUUGCCUCCUCUAUGUGCAUGGCUCUGUGCAUGUCUUUUACAAAUAUAACACGAGUCGUCAUCCAUAAACACCACAUAAAUGUACUUCACGGUUUUACGCUUUCUACACUUAGAACAGGAAAAAAAAACACACCAAGAAUGACAUAUUCUGCCUAAAUUUGCCAAAACAUCAGGAUAAUUCCCCUCUAAUGAACCCCAACAAAUACAUUCAUCUACAAAUCACCAAUCAAAAGUGGUCACAUCCAAGUUGAAAAUGUUACUACAGCCAUUUUGUUGCAUGCAAGUUGGAGCAAUAUUUUCAAAAGACGUAGUACAAGAAGAAUAUGUGUGCAUGGACAAAUAUUUUUGGUAUGAAGUUAGUAAGACCUGGUCUUUUAGCACAAUGAUGCAGGCUGUUGAGGAACCCACAGCAUUUGUUUCCGAGUGUGCUUUCUCCAAUACGCGAGCGGGAUCAAUAAACUCCCCGGGCUCAUUUUUAAUAGCAUCCAUCGAGUUAGACAUGAGUUCACAAGCAUAUUCUCCAGCAUUAAUCCCAACCUCCGCCCAACCACCAACUCCAUCUGCCACACCAAUUGCUUGCUCAUCCGAACAGAUGAAAUGAGCAUCCUCUCCACCUGUUUUUUCUUUAUCAGGAUGGGGUAGGUAGCAUGAUCCAGAGUGUAGCUUCAGUGUUCUGUUGCUUAGAGAUCUUCUGGAUUCAGCAGUAGUAGCCAACCAACAUUAAGGAAAAUCACAAUACUAUAUCGCCAAACUUAUUAAUGCUCAAUGCGACUCCCACAAACAUAGAACUGUGCAUCUCUAAUAAACUUAAAUUGAAAAACCCAUUCAGUAGAAAAUUGAAGCAGGAAAUGAUCAUCUUUGACGCAACGACUCACUGCUAAGAUUUAUUUACCUAGUAAGUAAAAAGACAAAAUUCAAGCAAUACCUUGUUUUGAUUAAAAAACGUAAAUAUUUGAUACUCAAACCAGAAUAACGAAUCUCUACAAUAGCCACAAUAUGUGAAUAUGCAAAUCUUUGACUUUUCAACACCAUGACGAAAGACAAUGUUCUUUAGCAAUCAGAGAGAAAGUUUCCCUUUAAAACACGCUAAAAAUCAGAAACCAUACAAAAGAGGAGAAAAAUCCAUUCCAUUUUGAGAAACGAUGGACACCCAAGUUCGACAACUAUGUCUUUUCACAAGUCACCACUUUCAUCGUCCUUGAAUUUCCAUGAGUUAUAUGAGUUGGAAGAAGCAUAAAUAUAAAAAAUCCUGUAAACACUGAGUCGAGGAUCACAUUAUUUUUUUAUUAAGUUCCGGCUUGCUGACAAGCUAAGCUCAACUAAAGAAUUCUCUGUCUGACAGACAAACUGCUAAUGUUGAAGGGUCACCAAAUACGAUCUUGACUGUUGGAAUAUAGGACCUGGAUUAUUGUUGAAUAUCCAAACUAAUUUUAAGGUCAAUACAUCGGGACCAUACACGACUGGCCAUCUGGUUUUAUUUAAUACAACACCUUGGCUAAAUUUGAAGUUAAAUGAACGCACCAAAAAAUCUUCAGGGAACAACUACCUUCUGGAUUAACAAAUGUAUUUAACUAUAAUCAAUUUUGAACCAUUGCACAUAAUAAAGAAACUGCAUACAAGAAAAUUUUUUUGUUUCUAAAUUAACAAAUAGAUGGAAACAACUUGAUAAGACAACACAAAAGGUUAGAGCAUUUACUGGUCUGGUGGUAUGGCAAGACUUGAUAGCUGUUCGUCGAAUGAGGUUCCGUUGCAGAGUACAUCAGAUGCAGCCCCAGUCGAACAACAUGGUGAUGAUGAGGAACUGCAGCUUCUAAACCACGACCCAACAAGGGCAUUCGAGCUGCGACAUUUCCAUCUACCUCCAAGCACAGAAAAAGCACGAUCAGUGCAGCGGCUAUUGGUUACCCCAUUUCUCAAACUCAGACUAGCUUUUUGACAAUUAUCGAGACCUCUAUUGCCAAAAUACAUCACAACAGGUUUAGCAAAACUCGAAACAUUCCCACAACCAGAGAUAAAAGUAUCCAUAACAAGGUCUCCAGGGGCAGCCGUUGAACUAGAAACAGCCAUGGCUCCACUAAAAUUCCCAAAAGCUUGAGAAGACGGGCGCGAUAGAACACCACCACCACCACGUGUCUGAGAAAAUGCCUCAACGGCAGAAUGCUUGGUUCUACUGUAAGUAUAACAAGCCCCAAAUUUCUGACUUCUUUUUACUGUCAAAGAUUCUAUUAACUUGUGGGUUGGUGCUAGUUUCACUCUUAAACCUCUCUGAACCCCAAAACAAAAGGCAGAAUUCGGUUUGGGAAGCAACCCUGAUGACAUAUCCUAUUCCCCCUCAGCUCAACCCAAUUCGUCCAUUAGAUGAACUCCAAACUUAGCAAGUCUGCAUUGUGAGCCAAUCCCCUUUAAUCCUGAGAAACUUCACAUCCUACUCAACGAUAACUUUGCCUGCCCAAGCAGCAAUUUCCUGCUACCUGAUUACAAAAACAAUUGCAUUAUAAAAAGAUUCAUUCGUUUUUCCUUUUCUUCUACUUUCGCAAGAUGAAAAGAAAGAUACAAGGGAAAAAGGAAGGCAUGGGGAACCCGGGAUUUCGGCAAUUCGGGCUUGACUAGGGGCGGAUCGAGAAUGCUGUCUGGGGACAAAAUUAUCGUUGGAGAGAAGAACAGCCGAAGUCCACCGCUUAAUGGGGGCUAAUAUCGCAGUCAGUCUCAAAUUUCUAAGUUUGACGCCCACCAGCCCAAAAAACUGAAAAACGGACAAAAACGAAGCGGUGGCUCAGAAUGAAGCGGAAAUUGGCGUUUGGAUUUAUAUUGGUGAGUUUUUUGGGAAAUAUUAGUGUAGCGUGUACGUAAGAUAAAAAAAAAAAGUAAUUAAAAAAUAGGUAUAUAAAAAUAUUUACAAAAAAUCACAAUCCAAAUAAGGCGUAGUUUUUUAGUCCCUUUUUAAUAAGAAAUCAUGUCAAUUUUGUCCUAUCAAGUUUUAUUUUGAUUAAUGUAUCACAGCAUAGUUUAUAACACUGGAAGAAGAUGACCUUUUAACACUUUGACACUCAUAAAAAUUGAUAGUAAUUUUUGAAAAAAAAAAAAAGAAUUAAGAGGCAGUGUGUGAAUUGUCUAAAAUACAGCAAGUAUAUUAUUAUAGGGACCAGGGAGAGCGCAAAAUUGGAACUAGAGAUGUUAGUGAGCCGAGCUACUCGCGAGUAGCUCGCGAGUAGCUCGGUCAACAACUCGACUCGAACUCGAGUUGUUUCGAGUAGCUCGACUCCACAUCGAGUCGAGUUUCGAGUCUCAUUUUUCGGGCUCGUGGCUCGUCGAGUAGCUCGACGAGCCGCGUUAAAUAUUUAUAAUUUAAAUAAUAUAUAUUUAUUAUAAUUAUAAAAUGACUAUUAUGGAUAUAGAUUUUAUAGAAUUUACAAUAUACCCUUCUUUAUAAUAAAAUCCUAUAAUGGCAAAAAAAUAAUAACAUAAUUAUAAAAAACACUAAAAAGAAAAAAUGUCUACAAAAAAAAGGAAGAAAAGACUUUCUUCCUUCUCUGUGCGACUUUCUUCUCCGUUCGAAGAAAGCCUAGCAAAAAAAUUCACUUUACCAGCCGGCAGCCACUGACUCUGACUGAUUUAGAUCUACACCCUCACUCCGUUCGUCGCCGACGCCGUUGCUCGCCGCAUCUGUGAGACUCCAUCUCCAUCGCCAUCGCCAUCGCCAUCGCCAUCGCCUUAACAAGUCCCAAGUCCCAAGUCCGAAAUCGAAGCUGCUCUCUGCCUCUCCGGCCUCCGCCAGUCCGCCGCGCUCUACGUCUCCUGUCGGCUGUGUCCUGCCGUGCUGGUUCAUCGCUGCCGAGUGUCGAAGACGAAGCACCAAGAUCUCACUAGUUCAUCGCUGGUUCAUCACUGCUCAUCUCUGGCUCACUUAGGUAAGUGCUCCUCUGUUUUUGGCUCUGUGUCUCUGGCAUUAAAAUGGGCCAAGAUCGACUAGGAAACUUGUUAUCCUGAAUUGAUAAGGGGACGAAAUCUCUCAGAGACCCAGAGAUUUCAAUCCAUCUGCCAUUAUCCUAUUACUCUCGGCCAAAAAAAAUAAAAAAAUAAAAAAAAGAACCGACGGGAAACAGAGGAGGAGCAGCCGCCACUGCUGGGUCGUCGGAGUUUGCCCAUACCGCCACGGUUAUCCAAUUCUUCAUUUAAAACGCCCCGUGAGCUAUUCUUUGCUUUCCAACUUGAAUUUCAAUUUGAUAUUUUCUGGAACCAUCUUUUGCUAGUUUCUUCUUGAAUUUUUUUAAUCUGGAGUUAUUUACAAUUUUCAUGGCUGAGUAUACUCUUUGGCCUUUGUUGGACCGAAAUCGUAUUUUGAUUACAAGUUUUGGGUCUUUCUUUCGUUGGAAUUUGAUGGGAUCUUUAGAAUUUUCGUAUGCCCUUCUACUGUUUGAAGAAAUGCCUAAACGAGAACUUGAAAUAAAGAGACAAAUCUCUUGUAUCUGUGCUCGUGGGGAGCAGCUCCUAUCAGUCCAACGCUGAUAGGAGCCCGUGGGUUCGGCGGAAAUCCAUCAAAGACCCAGAGAUUUGCUAGUAAUAGUAUACGUCAUAUGAGGCAUCUGCGGAUUUCUAAGUAUUUCAAUUCUGUGGGCGCUCAAGAAGCGCCAAAUACCUGAUGCAGAUUUAGGAAUCGUGCAAUAUUUAUGUAAAUAAUUUUAAUUUGUGCUCUUAAAAAAAUCAGACUUAGGAUAAUGGUGUGCAAAAAUAUAGCUAAGACUGACUUCAAAAUCCUUUGUGUUAUGAUUUGACCAACUAGGUGUGAUGAAUUUGCCCAAAUUCGGAUUUGAGCAACCUCACAUGCUUGUUUGAGAUAAUUGUUUGUCUCUCAAUUUGGUGGCUCAGCUCAUGUUUUGCUGAGUUUUGAAAUUUUGUGGGGAAUUUUGGUUAGUUUGGGUACUUUUGCAGCACACUUAGGAACUAUGAUUCGAGGAAUUAGAAUCAUCCAUAUUUUCUGCUCUUGUGGGCACCUACCGUUGGUGGGUAAUUGCUGAAUUUGAAAGUUUCAUGUCAAGCAAUCCAGCAAGUGGGAAUUUCCCUUUUUUCUUCUCUAUUCUUCUUUGUGGUGAAUCUGAUUUUUAGGGGUGUUAAAGAUGCUAACUGUGGGAGGUAGAAUGUGGAUACUUUUGGUUGUAUUUGUAUUGAUGAAUCAUGGAUUUUAUGCCUCAUUUACUCCAGCUGAUAGCUACUUGCUUGCCUUUGAAUCUUCCCAAAACGUCACCUUUGAUCUGGUUUUUUGGUCAAAUCGAGUCAAAAAGCUUGAUAAGACUCGACUUGAUAAGGCUCGAUUAAAGAUCGAGCCUUAUCGAGUCGAGUCUCGAGCCUAAAUGAAAUUCUUCGAGUCGAUCUUCGAGUAUCGAUUUUCGGGCUCGAUCGAGCUCGAGUCGAGCUCGAGCUUCUGUGUGUAUGAGUCGAGUCGAGCUCGAGUAUAGCGAUACUCGAGCUCGACUUGACUCGAUUACAUCCCUAAUUGGAACACAAACGUGCAUUAUUAAUCCCCUGCUUGCAAAAUUGUCUUUUUGUUGUUCAUCCACAAUUCCCGACUUUUGUGUCCCCCAACCCAACUUUUGGACGACAUUAGGGGCUUAUUUGUGCAUGCAAAACUCGUGCACCAAGAUGCUAUCACUGUGCAAUAUAACAACAGGCCCUGUGACCUGUAACGCAAUUCCAAUUGUUUGAUCCUGCACCAGCGUGAUUGUGUGUUUUAACAGUAGUGCCGUUUGUAUUGUGAUUUUUAAAAAUUUUUAUAAAGAAAAAUAUUGUAACGAUUGGAUUUAAUAUAUAUGACUUAAAAUAAUAAUUAAAAAAUAUUAUAUAUAUAUAUAUUUUUUUUUUCUGUAAAAAAUCACAAUUCAAGCAAGGGCGCUUGACGUUUACAGUAAAACGUAAAAGUUUUACCGUGGAUGUACGAGAUAAAUGUUUUUUACACGCCACGUCGUGUUAGAAGCACGAAGAAGCGGAGGCUUUGGCUUGCCAUGAAUUGUUCGCAUGGAGUAGAGUAGAGUGGGUGACACGUUCCCUAUACUAUAGAGGCCGUGCUACUUGGCACGGAAUUCUGGAAUAAGUACAAAAGUUAAACCCCACUUUACUGCUCUGUGAAGGCCAAUAAUGUCUCUCACUCAUCCUGAUUACUCCUUUUACUCAAUCCGUCUGCUCUGCACAAAAACAACCACAAAAUUACCAUAUUUGUUUUAAUCAGGGCCCCCAUUUCUAUUUCACCGUUCCUAGCUAGAGCGGUUAAUCGAACCGAAUAGCUCGCGAGCCAAGUUCGAUCCGAUUCGAUAAGGGGUUCAACUCAGUUAGUUUAAUGAGAGAAAGGAGCCGAUCUCGAAUUCAACUUUACGCUUAUUUAAUAGAUGAGCCGAGUUAUGCUCGACUCGUUUAGGCUCGAAUGGUAAGAUCAUUUCAUUGUGUAUUUGAUAUUUUUACCUAAUUCAUUCUCUCAUUUCUAGUCCUACUUUUUUCUUUCCUCUUUCGGUCUUGCCCCUAAUAUUCAUCUCCCAAACGAGCUUGAGCUUAAUAAACUCGGCUCGAUUUUGAACUCGAGUUCGACUCGUUUGAACUUAAUAAACUCGGCUCAAUUUUAAAUUCGAGUUCGAGGUCGAACUCGAGUUUUCGAUCGAGUAUACCGAGUCGAUCUCGAACAGCUUGUGAAACUUGAAUUACUAAUCGAGCAAACUCGAACUAGCUCAAUUAGAGAUUCGAGUCAAACUCGAUUAUCGUGUGCUCGAAUUUGACUCGAUUAACAGCUCUACUCCUAGCUAUCUCUUACGUUUUUUUUUUUUUUACACCCGAUCCACAAGAAGACUAUAUAGUGUUGAGUCAAAAUAGUUAUCCGUCCUACAAAUGAGAUACUAGUUCAAGCUUGGAGUGCAGAAGCAAUUUCUUAUUCGUAGUCUCUAGCAAGUAAUGGAAAUAUGUUGAUGCUUCCACCCCCAAUGUACAAAAAUAAUUACUCCCCGGUUUUCUGGUUGAACCGUGUAGAAGAAAAAAUUAUUGGAGCUCAUGGGUAUGAUGUCAUAAAUAAACCAGUAGUAAUUAAUCUAAUCUGAUCUUGGAUUAUCAGUAACCGUACCGAAUACUGGACUAUUCACCAACAUUGUGGCCGAUUGCUUUUACUCCUAUCUUCUACUAUUAUACUCACAAAAGUGCCACCAUUUUAACAUCAUCUUACAUAUAUAAUCAAAAGUGUUUAAAAGGUCUCAGGACCUUUGGCUACUUAUAUUUCACGGAAAGGGUCUCUUCAACCUUGACAGGCAGCAGAACAAAUAUUAAAACCGACUCACUCUCACUGCCUAUACUGUAAUGCUUAAUUUUUUAAGGAGCAUCGCCGGGCCAAGAGUCGCUAUUUGCUGCUGCAAGACUAAUUGAUAAUAAAGCUCGAUGCCACCUCACAAAUCACACUUCCGAAAUGUCAACUAUGAAAGCCUUGACUUUCAUGAAAACAAAUGUUCUAAUUGUUGUCAUGAUCCCCUUCCCAUAUCUUUACCAGAGUACUCGCCGCUGCCACCAAAUGUUGCCGCUGCAGCAGCAGCAACAUCAAGGCCGCCACCAAUUGAUGUCAUUAAGGCAGAAAAUCCGCCUGAUGGGCCUCCACCAGCUGCCAUCCCCAAUCCAAGAAGGUCAAGGGUAGUAUGCUUGGGACCGAAUACAGAUGGAGUCCCCAACAUCAGUUCCUUCAAGCUAGACCCACCGUCACAUGGCAGCCCAAGUCCCAGGCCUGCUGCCAAUGAUGCACUAUCAGACUCAAUUCCCCUCCCACUCCACUCCUGCUGCCCGCUGGAAGCUGACGCCGAAGAAACAAUCCCGAACCCUCUCAGGAGUGAAGCAUUAGUUGCUGCUGCUCCAAUCUGAGCAGCUUUUUGCAGUAAUGCUGUUGCAGACAUGGCAGGUUGUGGUGCAGGCGCAUACUGCCUACGCUCUUGCCCUGCUGUUCCAAAAAUUGAUGAACCGUGACUUGUAGCAAGACAGAGGGAUAUGGGUUCCGUGGAAGAAGACGCUACGACUUCAGAUGCAUUCUCAGGACGAGCCACAGCUCUAAACAAGUCAGUAAAUUCAGGUGUUUGAGAUUGCAAGCUUGCCGAUGUUGUUGAUGAGGCAAAUAAGCUUGCAAACACGCUGCUGCUAGUACUUCCAUGACUGCUUGAGCUGCUGCUGCUACCACAGCUGCCGGUUAAGCUGGUCACAACAGAUGUUUCCUCUAGAAUCUGAGGUGGAGCGGGACUUUGCUUGGGAUUUUCAGGUCCCUCUGUUGAAUUAAACAAAUCAUAUAAAAAGAAUGAGCGAAAAAAAAAAAAGAGCAUUCCCUGGUAAAGAAGCAAGAAAUGACGAAAGUAUAACCUUUCUUAUUAAAGAGCUUUGUAUAUGAUUAAAAGAGAUUCAAUAAUACCCUCCUUUCUCGGCAUCAACUUAACUUUUAGCUUUUGGCUGGAUCUCUGUCCAUUCUUUACCAAAAGAUUGCUUAGAUUCAAUCUCAAUUUUUUAUUCAUAGUUGAGAUAUGGUUUUCCCCAAUUGAAGUUAGUAGUAGUUCAUCCUUGUUCUUAUAGCAAGGGAGUAAAUCUAGUCAACCAUAGAUGCAGAUAACAACAAAGAAGGGGAACAGACAAAAACAACUAGACUCCAAGAUUAAUAGACAAAGAAACAACAACAACAGUUUGCUUUUCUUUUCUUUUUUCCCGGCAAAAGUAUGAUAUACAUCCGACAAAACCCGGACUACAGAGCUACAUAACUACCCAUCAUCAGCAGUAGGUGGAGGAGGCUGAGCUACAAAUUGGCAGUUUCGAGCAGAAAUACCUGGAUUUUGAACAGGCAAAGCUGAAGAUACUAAAGCAGCUGGUGGAGGAGGCUGAACUGCUACCGAAGGUGGUGGUGAUGAGGAUGCAAGUGUUUGAAGCUUCGGCUCCUCAUCAUCAGCAGUAGGAGCUGGAAGUGCCUCAACUGUCUGUGCUUUUGCACUCUCCUCAGCUAAUGCAUCACAAAAAGCUCUGUGUGUAAUAAAGCUAUCCCUCCUGCAAUCAUCAAACAGACAUUAACAUCAUUCUUGAAAAUAAAAAGAAAAACAGAGGGAAAAAUUUAUCUUAACAAGGUAGGGAAAAGAUCAGUUAACCUUGAAAACAGAGUCCCACAAUCACAUUUAUAUUCUCUAGUUCCACAAAUCUUUGAAUGAGCUUUCCAAUCAGACUGAACAGCAUAUUUCUUCGAACACUUGUCGCAUUUCCACUUCUUUUCGCCAUGUUUUCUGCAGAAAUGCUUCUUAAUUCCGGUCAAAUCGCCCAAUGCUCGAGAAGGAUCGUGGUGAACACAGGUGAGUUCAGGGCAUACAUAAACUCUCUUCUUGACCUCUUUGCUCGAUCUCUGCCUAAGUUUCCAAGGCAAAUUAUGUCCUCUCCGAUGCAGCUGCAAAUUCUGGUCCCUUUGGAACCCUUUAUUGCAAAUUUCGCACACAAAUCUAUUUGUUGCCAACAGAGUCUUUGGUGACAAAGCAAUCACCUCUGCAUCCGGAUCUAAGAGAAAAACAAAAUGAAACUUCAGCAAUAAGCAAAAACAGAUUACCAGUCUUUUUAUGUUUUCCUUUCUGGCUCUUUUACCUGGCAUGCCUGGGAGAUUUCGUUUUUUCUUGGCAGAUGAUGUAGGAGGGGCUGCCGCUUGAUUGCCUGAAGAAGAAGCACUGGCAUCACCGGAAGCGGUAGAAUCAUUCAUGACAGAAGAGUUAUCCAUAUCGGCAGGCAUGGAAAGAGUACUGGAGUUGUUAAAAGGGAUUUUUAGACUGCUAGAAAGGGAAAUUUUGGGGCAUUUAUGCUGCAAAAAAACUUUUAGGAUAUAAAGCUCCUUUUUCGUUUCUACGGCUUAUGGUCACAGCACUCAGCUCUCAGACUUGUGUAUCUAUCCACCAGUCAAUCUAAUUUAAAAAAAAAAAAAUAUAUCGCCAACUACCAACUACGAUCAACUUUUGACCACGACCAGAUCAGAAAUGAGCUAAUUAGCAAAUCCCACUUCACAGAACCACCACCUGUAAGCUCUGCAGAUAACGGAAUCAGAGUCGCCAGAGAAUUAUCGCCGGUGAGCACGACAUGAGUAUCUUCAGCUAAAAGAAGAUGAAAUUUUGCUAUACUUCAUGAGGUUUCUAGAACAUGGACCUUAAAUCUAGGUAGCUGUUCACCUGUCUAAUAACCAGAAAACAUUUCAGCACCGAGCUUCUUGAAUUUCCGGUGACGUUUUCUCCGAUGCAAAUGCCGGAAAUUGGGCUGGGGAGCAGUACUUUCAAGAAGACGGCUCAGAAAACUAGAUGAAAGAGGAAAUUUAGGAGGGCAGAGAGAGAGAGAGAAGAAGAUGUGAAAGUCUUCUUGUGUUUGGUCUACAGUCGUGUAAUGUUUAGAUCAUAGAACAGGUAGCCGAUGUGGAUUUGAUUAAAGAAGAGCUAAUAAAUUAAUUAGAAAUCAUCAACAGUAAAUGGGGAGAAGGGCGAAAGAUAAUGACGGGUUAAGUUUUGUGGCUCACUUUUUAACCACGGUUUCAUUGUUGACCUGACCAUACGGUGUGGUAGAGUUUCAGUUAAAAACAGAAGAGUUUAAUGAUGGUGCAGAGUGCAGACUGCAACUCUGCUAGUGCUGCUCAAAAUGUUUUCGACGUGGGAUUGGGACACGUACGUUUAGCUUUCGAUAAAAAUUAGUGAUUAUUGUAGUGUUUUUUCAGAAAAAAAAAAAGAAAGCUAUAAUAAUAUAUUUCAGAAAUAUUUUAUUAGUGUAGUUUACAGAAAUAAUAAUAAUUAUAUUAGUGUAUAUUAAAUUAUGCAAAAACGUAUGGUAACCUUACAGUCAACCGCACCGAAACUUCAACCGCAUGUGUCUAGACCCUUUUGAUUUUUCUUGCCAUGGCCUUUACAAUUUUGACUUUCAAUUAUAAAUUUCUGCACAAUUUUAUUUUGUGAUAUAUAUAAUUUGUAUUAAAUUUUUAAAAUAAAUUUUGGUAAUUGUUUGUUUCAAUUAGGCUUUACGGUGUAUAUUCAAAGACUCUCGUUUAUUUAUUAAAAUUUAUUUACUUACAACAUCAAUACGUUUCUCAAUCAUUUUUUUUUAUCAAUGCAUUUUUUUAUGUACGAUGAAUAUAAAUGCAUUGUGGUCUCUAAGUUGUAGAGCGAGCAAAAGGGUUUUAUGCAGUAGCAAUUAUGUGCAAUUUGCACCGUUGAGUGCAACCUAUUGUUGAUUAAGAAAUCAGGACAUGUGUCAUAAGUAAUCAUCCCAUCCUCUUACUGAUUUAUGCCCUGCGUCCAGUCUCCAUUUCACACAUCCCCUGUAGCACCAAACGAACACAUGAACCUGGCUCUCUAAUUCCAUCUCGUAAUAAGUACUAAUAAGUUGCUUUAUUAAGACUAAUCGUCUAAUCAUCAUUCACCCUGGAGGUUUUUUUCCCGGUGAAAAAUGCCUUAUCCCACAAGAAAAGCAUCGAUAUCAUUGUUAGACUUUUGAUGAGUGAGACCGUCUUUCAUUCUUUUGCUGCUCAUAUUCUCUCCGUCAAUGCCAAGCUCUUCUAUCUAUAGUGAUAACAUCACGUUCUUUUCUUUAUAUUCUCUCUUCUUCUUUGUUUUUUUUGGUCCUUUAUUUUUCUUUUCCAUGACUUGCACAAGAGAAAAACCGAGCGGGAGAUGGAAUAGGCUGUGGGAAUCAAAUACCGGUUUGGAGAUCAGAGAAAUAAAACUCUCGCCCAUUGGGCAAUGCGUAGUUCUCUACUAUUUGUGAAUUUACCUGAGCAACGAAUACAAUUCACAAGAAGCAAGAUUAUGAAUUUAGCUGAAAUGAUGCACAAACAGGCCGCCCGCAUAUUUCAUGAAUUAUAGCUAAGCAUAAUCAUCACGUCAUGUUUGAUAGAGAAGAGUUAUUUCACUCAACUUACAAAAACAGAGAUUUUGUCGGAGAGAGAUUGACCAGUUUUUCGUGUUUACUAAACAGAAAACUAAUAAUACUCCUAGCAGAGAUGAAAAGCAAAGGCUAUACAUAGUCUGUCAAUCGAACCUAAUGAGCCGGGCUUUUAUAAACUCUAAGCUCAGCUCAUUUUAUUUGAAAUAUUUUCGAGUUUUCGGUUCAUAAAUGUGAAAUUCAUACUCAACUCGCAUAAUAUUCGGAUUGUGAGUCUUAAUCGGGUUUAGUCAAACCUCACUUAUUACUCCUUAAUUUUCUUAAUAUAAUUACUAUAACUAUUAAAUUGUAAAACUAAUUUAACAUUUACAAGACUAUAAUAUUAAAACUAAACAUGAACAAAUAAUAAUAUUUCUUAAAAAGUGUAUAAACCAAAUUUUUCAACAAUAUUUAUAUUUAAUUCGUUCAGAAUGCAUGAAAAAUAGUAAUUAAACAAUCAAUCAUAAGUCAAUACAUAUUUAAAAGUUGAAACUUUUUUUAUAAUCUUGUGAUUUAAAUCCAAAUAUGCUUGAUGAUUUGUGUUUGUAGACCAAAAAGAAAUCAACCAAUAUUAUGUCAACACAAAAAUUUACUCAAACCAAUAAGAAAAGUUAGAGAUUUAGUUAUGCAUUACUAAUAUUGGUUCUUAAGAAAGCUCCUGGAAGAGUUUUUAGAUUUAUUUUUGUGUUUUGUAAUUUAUAUAUAUUUAGUAUUUAGUAAUAAUAUAUUUGAAUAUAUAAUUAUACAUAAUAUUAAAAUAUAAAUAUUAUAUAUAUAUAGGUAAUUAAAGGGACGGGCCUAUAUCGGGUUUGAACCUAAUAUAGCACAAACUUGGCUCAUAUUUAAUUCGGACCUAAUUUUUUAGGCUCAAGCUCAGACUAAUUCACUAAAAUGUCGGGUUCAUCGGGUUUUUUGUUGGGCCAAAUUCGAGUUGACCCAACCCCAUUAAAACAGUCCUAGCUAUACACUUUUAACAGAAGUGUUUUUUGAGUUGAGAAUCGAAAAUAGAUCUAACGAAGUUCAAUUAAGAAACAUUAGGGUCCAAUUAUUGUUUGGAUAUUGGUUUUUCCCAUAAAAUUGUUUACCUUUUUUGUGAAUACAUCUCUCAAUCACUUUUUUAUUUUACAUAUAUCAAAUUAUUGCAAUACAAUUUUUUUAAAAAAUUAUAAAAAUAGCAAUCCAAACGGGAGGGCGGCCCCAUAGUUUUAGUACAAUUAUCAAUUAUACUAAAGUACACUUUCAAUAAUUAUGCCAAAAGAUAGUAAAAAAUAUAUGUAUAGUGAUCUUUUUGUUCCUUUACUUAUUGUUCUUAAUAAAAGAAUUGAAAUCAUUGUCAAAAAAGAUGAGGGACGAUCAUAUAAAUUUGAGUGACCUAACACUCUAGUUCAAUUAAAAUUUAACUAAGCAUACUCUUAGUAGUGCUAAUGGUAUCAUAUACCACGUUUUGAUACUUUACCUGUAAGUCUUUCUUGCCUUCAUUCAGCUACCUGGGCUAAAACAUCGUCUAGCUAAUAUCGACCGGGUCUUUGCGUUCACAUCACUAGCAUUGCUUGAUGCAACUGGUAGCUAAGUUCCAUCGAUUUGAAUCGGACCGUGACCGACCUUAUCCUUUUCUUGUCGGGCAAAAAGAUGUUGAAAAUAACGCCAGAGGAAUCGUACCUUAUUUGUGCUACUUUGUUUAGCAUUUAGGAAAAAUAGGUUAAAAUGUUUUCCACAUUUCACCAAUUAAAUUUUUUUACGUAUCCUACAAAAUCAAGUUGAUAAAAUGUAAUUACAACUUAAAUUUCGACUACUUUUUUAUCACCAAAUCCAUCAUGUGACUCACACAACAUAUGGUCUUAUUGUUUUAGGAAUAACAAAAGGUUAGAUCCUAUUUGUAGUUAAACAAAUGAUUUGAUUCAUAUUCAUUUUUAUUUCUAAAAAAAUUAGGAUCCAACAUGGAUCAUAUUCAUUUUUUCCCUAAAAAAGGGAUGUGAUUCAAUCCAUAUUGACUUUUGCCAUUAAAAAAAAGUAGGAUGUUAUCACAUUGUAUAUAAAAAAAUAACUGCAUGUAGGUCGCAUGAUGAUUUUAGACUAAAAAGUGAUAAAAAAAACUUAGGUUGGGAUCUAAUUUUGCUAACUUGAAUUCGUAAGAGACGUAAAGUUAAUAUUUUAAAUGUAAAGAAUGAAAAAAUUAAUGUAAUAAAAUAUAAGGGAUGUUUUGAAUAAAUUUUCCUAGCAUUUUCUUAUACUAAAUUUGCUUCAUCAAACCAAAAUAAGCUAGAAUUAGAGAAAUGAAGACCAACGACUGUGUAUAAAGAUGUGGCUCAAAAAAAAAAGGGAAGAGCUUGCUGCUUGUCAUCCGGAAAUAAGUUAGGUAUAAUUUUGCCGAGUUUAUUUUUGGAUUUUUGCUGUCAUUUCCACCUGAAAUCCCUACCACCAACUAGGGUUGCAAACGAAUCGAGCCGCUCGCGAGUCGAGUUCGAUAUUAAUCGAGCUCGAACUCGAGCUCAGAAUAUUAAGCUCGUUAGCUCGCGAGCUUGAGUAUAUAUAUAUAUAUAUUUUUUUUUAUUUUUAUUUAAUAAUAAAAUUACGUAUAUUAUAUAUAUAUAUAUUUUUAUUUUUUAUUUUCAUAGUGAAAUUACGGAUAUAUUCUUAAUAUUUUAUUAUUUAUUCAGAAAAAAUAUUAUUUUAUUUAUUUUUUUUAAAAUAAAAUAAUUUUUUAUAUUUUUUUCGAGCUCGAGCUCGAGCUCGGCUCGACUUGAUUCGAGUCGAGCUUGAGCUCGAAAAUUGCCAGCUCGUCGAGCUCGAGCUCGAGUUUGGUAAAAUUUAGUCGAGACUCGGCUCGAUUAGCUCAAAACUCGACUCGGUUCGGCUCGUUUGCAGCCCUACCACCAACAACCGUAAAUAAACGCGCACACAUACACUAUCUAAGGGAAACGUACAACUCAACUCAAAAGGCAUGUUGACUUUCAGGCCACACUGAGAACCUUAAGUAGUACAUACACACACCACUCACAAUCGAUGUGGAAUAGAGGAAAAGGAGGAGGAGAAACACCACGACUAUUGCCCAAAGGCUCACUUCAAAAUGUGUUUUUGUACCAUUCUUGAUGUCUGUGUUGAAUUUCAAAAUUCAGAAUGACAAGUUUUUCCCACCUGAAAUCCCUGCCACAAAAUGUGUUUUUCUACUUUUUCCUGAUGCCUAAGUUGAAUUUCAAAAUUCAGGAUGACAAAAAAUUUGUUUUUUUUUUGAUGUCGUAAAAUUGGUUGAAAUUAAGGCCAAGCCUGUUACUGAUUGCUGUUUUGAGGAUACAGUCUAGCUAUUAAUGGUUACAAUUUACAUCUACUAAUCAUUUUCCGAUAACUGGUUUACAUUUUGCCUUACGUUUAUAUAUUUUAUUUCUUCGUUAGUACGUAUUAUUUAGAAGUUCAAAACAUCUACAGUAAAGCUACUUGUAGUGCUUGAUUGUCAUCAUUGUCCAUUACAUUUCCAAUUUUCUUCUAAUUUGACAUUUCGAACAUUCGGCCAAAAAAAAAAAAAAAAAUCACCCUUGAUGUUCUAAUCACUUAUGUCUAUUGUCUAAUUUUUAUUAACAUAUUAAACAACCGUUCUUUUUUUUUUUUUUAAUAAAGAAGAUCAACAGUCCAGCAACAAGGCGUCAAGAUAGAAGAUGGCAACGAUACGAGGUCCGGCGAACUUUGCAACUUUAUAAGACUAGUACAAUAGAGACCUUUUGCUGUUGUUUCAUUGUGAUUCUUUUGCUGAGUUAAUUUGAUGUUUUAGUUUCCUUAACCAAGAUGGCAUGCCAGUAAUUGAUUUGACUUGACAUUCAAUAAAAGGGGUUGGCUGAUCUCAAAAGCUUCAAGGCUUAGAAAGUUUACUUUUAGUUUCAAAGGAUGGAGGACCACCUCAAUAAUCACGAUGCUUCUUCUUCUUUUUCUUUUUUUUUUUUUUUUUUAUAAAUAUAUGUACGUAUAUAAAGUUUUAGCCUCCCAAAAUAAAGAGAAAAGGAUCCCGGCAUACUUUCUUUUUGUUACCUGGAGCCUGGAGGAUAUGCCUGCAGUAGCAUUUCGGCUAUGCAAAAAAGUCAAUGACAAUUCAAGAAAAAAAAAAAGUGCAAUUGCGAAUAUAGGAAUGAUGCAGAUAAUUGAACAUAUGGCAUUUGUUCUAUUCCAGGAUGACAAAGAUCUUUAGGUCCCAAGAAUUUAGAAAUUACACUUCAUUUCCUUAAAGUAUUAAAGAGUUUUAUUUACUAUAUAUUUGUAAAAAAAAAAAAAAAAAAAAGAUUUUGUGCCUGAAAAGCAUCCUAAUUAUCAGAGUUGAAGGAUGGAGUCCUAAUAAACUAAUUAUUAUUAUUAUUAUUAAAAUCAAGAGUAAAGUUAUAAACACGGUAGAGAAGAGAGUUGCAGGUUUUAGACUCGUGGUGGUCAAGAUGAGAAAGAAAUGCAAAAAGGAACGCGCUGUGCCGUCAAAAUUCAAAAUUAAAAGAAAGGACAAAUGAUCGAGUUUGAAGUACAAAAGCCAAAGUCUACUGUAGCGUAGUUUCUUAUUAUUAUUUUUUUUUUAUAAUAAAAAUAAGAAACAAAAACGUACGAGUGCUUUAUAGUAAUAAUAUUGCAAAACGCAGUACUGUAAAAAGUUUCCUGAUUUCACUUCAGAAAGGGUGCACGUUCUCCGACGUGUCUCAGAAAAUUUUUUUUUUUUUUUUUGGUUGUUGUUGUUGUUAGCAACUUAGCAUCAACUAGUUUCCAUGCUGCUACUAUCAUACAAUGUUUGCUUUCCAUAUUUAUCAUGAAGAAAUACGUAGCAAGUAAGAAAAUCACCGGCGACUCUCUCUAUGGAACACAAGAAAAAAAAAGCAAUUUCUCAUACUUUCUCUUCUCUUAUCUCCAUUUCCUACCACCCAAACGCUCCGAGGCCUAUGGUAAAAUAAAACCAAAAAGAGUAUAAUAAACUAGAGAGCGAAAUCAUCAUCAUUUAGUAUAGGACUCUAUGCCAUGGUAACACCCACAAAGCCGGCACAAGACUUCUCUCAACAUCCACAUAAUUAAUUGCAUUGACUUGGAACGCAAUUGCUUUACCCUUUUUUUCUUUCUUCCUUCUCUCUUUAAAAGAAUUUGUCAUAUAUAUAUCAAACUUGUUAUCAUGCUGGACAGAAAUGAUGGCCUAGCCAAGUUGGAUUUCUAGUGCAGCAAGGCACUCGUUCUCUUUAUUCAAAACUCAAAAUAGGAGGAGAGAGUAUCGCAGGGAACCCUUUUCCUUUUAACUCUCCCAGGAGAGUAUCAUAUGGAAUGGAACGCCGAUCUUCGACUGAAGGCCAAUUCAUUCCAAAAAAAAAAAAAAAAAAAAAUUUUUUUUUCCCUUAAAAAAAAAAAUAUUUAAUAAAAGCUUUUGGGGUGGGUAGGAGAUGAUAGGUUGGUCUCAAUCGAUGAGAGGGGUCGAUCACAUUAACCACCACGCCACACCAGCUGAACAAUUUCUGAGCAGAACACAUGCAUUCAAUGCAUGGACAGGCGGGGCGUCUGGCAGUUGACCAGGGAUGCUGCAGCAGCAGCUUGCAAUGCAAUGCACGACUCCUUCAGUCGCCAUGCCAUGUACGGGACACGGGACAUGACGAUGCCGAAGCCCUUACCUGCGCGAGGCAAUUCAAAUUUCAAGUUUGAUGAUGAUGAUUAAUUUCCCAUGGACAAGUUUGAUUUUUUUGCUUCUACAAUGACAGAUCGCAGAUUUUAUUUAAUGUUUUGCUUUUCCAUCCUGUCCGUACUUUACUCUCUGCCCCUAUCACACUCAUUUUAACGCCGAGGAAGAUUACUUACGCAUGAUUAUAUUAGGAACCAAGAGGAAGAAGAGUGAAGGAGUUGGGACGUUUAGCUUAAUUAAAUCCUUAUGCAACGUAUGGAGUUCUUGUUAUAACACCCAUCUACAAGGUGGUUACAAAUUAAAUGAAGUUGCACUACUUUCCCCCGGCUAAUUUCUCAGAUUAUUUGUAUUUAAAAAAAACAUCCGCCAAAUGCACCUCUGACAUGGGUUUUUCUAAUUGUAUAGCGUCAGCACGGCCGCAUAACUAAAAAUUCCACCCAGAUCUUCUCUGCAAAAAAAUUCAAUGAUGCACAGUCGGUGUCAGAGGGGACGGGCUGACUGGGCACGUCCCCGGCUGACAGAAAACUGACUCCGUCUGCGUAUGAGUCAGAGGGAAAAAAGCAAAACUUGCAUUAUUCCAUCCGGGAAAAAAAAAGGAAAAGAUAAGGAAAGGAGCAAGUGAGCUCCAUUGAUCGAAAAGAGAUUCCCCUGCAGCUUUUUUGUGCUAAUGGUGCAGGCGAACCCCAACUACAGCCAGCAAAAGUUUUUAAUUAAAAAAAGAAAUUUAAGCUGGCUGCCGGCUUGCAAGUUUUUUUCUUUUUUUUUUUUUUAAAGUUAAGUUGCAGGUUGUCAGCCGACUAAACAUUGUUAAGUACUUUUAAGUACUAUUAUAUUUAUUUUUACCUUUAUUCUUUUAACAACCCACUACCAAAUAAUAAUUUAUUUGUAUAUUUUAUUUAGAUAUAUAUCAAUUUUCUAUAUAUUUUAUAAAAAAAUAUAAAACCAAAUUUUAUACAUAAUAAUUUCAACGAUUAUUUUUCAAACAUUUGGAAAAUGCAUAUUCUUGUAAAUUGAAUGACAUUUUUUUAUCUAAAAACUUUUUUUAGGGAUAAAAAUAAUUAAUUUAGCAAAUUUAUCUUGACCUUUUUCAUACGUUUGAGCUUAACAAAAAAUUAACCACAAAGGCUACCGAUAGCAUAAGUUUUUAUUUUUUUUUUAAAGUAAGCUACAGGCUGCAGGGCUCAAACCUUAAAAAAAAAAAAAAAGAAUUCUCUUGUCUACCGGACUGACUCAGCCCGGUAGGCAUAGUUUUCUACUGCCAAAUUGUCAGAACAACAUUGUUCCGACCUUUUUUUUUUGGGCAAUAAUCAGAGCAAUUAGCCCAGUUUCAAUUAUCAAAAUUAAAAAGCAAGAUAGGCUUUCAAAGUUGAAAUUUUGAUACAAAAAUGCACAUGUAUCUUAGAAAAUUUAGUCUUUACUUUUGUAAUAAAUAUGAUGACUUUUAUUUUAUAUGGUUGUGCAUUUGUUUAUUUAAUUAUAAAGGGUAACUAAUUGCUUGAAAAUGUUAUUAUGUUGAAUAUGCUAGAUAUUUUGGAGAAGUUUAUUACAGUUCUUCUCUAAAGAUAGAAGAUUGUGCAGCGUUUCUUUCUCAUGCCAUUUUAGAAGGAAUUUUUUCUUUUUUUUUUGGUUUGUUUACAAAGUUUAAUAGAUGGCAUAUUUGGCUUACAAUAUCAAAUUGGAUUUUUAUGCUACUAGAAACAGGUAAAGAGAGGGUGUAACUUGAAAUUGGAGAGGAACUUUCUGCAAUUGUCAUAGAUCUUGAAAGAAGUUCGUGAAAUUAUCCAUAUUCUUUUUCAUAAUUGGGCUGAAUCAAUCGUAAUCAAUUAAGUAUCCCUUAGUGUGGGCUGGUAGGAAAAUUUGGCGUGAAUGAAAGGUUUGCAAUUUUGAUGCGCUUUUAGUAUUGCCCACCAGGCAGUAUACCACUCGAAAUGGAAAAAUAAAUUGGGGGACGUGCCCAAUCAGCACGUCCCCUCUGACACAUGAGCAGACUCUGUCGGAUUUCUUUCAGGCGGGGACGUGCCCAGUCAGCACGUCCCCUCUGACUCAUACACAGACGAGUCAGUUUUCUGUCAGCCGGGGACGUGCCCAGUCAGCAGGAAUGAGAACUCCGACAUGCGCAGGAAUGACUUCCAACUACUGACUGCAAAUUUACGAAGUAGCAAGGAAUGAAAAGGACACAACAGUCGGUGACUGCUAUUCAUGCACAGACCUUAACACCCAGGUGCAUCUCACCGUGCAACACCCAGUUUUAGACUACCACUGUUACCGAAGACUACCGCAAUAUUUUGUAUACCAGAAGUGAACAAUUCAUCGUGCGAAUUUAUGAAGGGGUGGCCCAAUUGUAAGGUGAUCAUCCGACCAGCAACCACUGUUAGGUCCAAAAUACUAAUUAAUGCAUCUAUUUACCUCUUUUUUUUAUCAGGAAUAUCACUUCCCCGACCACUGUAGAAUUUAACCCAAAAAGGCUGAAGCAUUGUCCCAAUUUAACACAAAGAGGAAUGACCAAAGCCACAUAUUGUAUGUGAACGGUUUCAAUUUUUUUACAUGGAUGAUCAAAAUAUGACAAACCACAUAUUGGAUAUAGGGCCAAUCUAUAGGGAUGCAAUCAAGACAUCUUGGGGUACUUUUUAUUUCGUUGCCUGCUAUAUUUUUAGAGUAUUUGACCAUGUACCCUGUGAGGCAUUUCAAGACACAUGUAUAAAGUCGAACUCAUUCUAUUGGUUCACUGAAUUCCAUCAUGAGCUCCCUGGAACUUUUGGUUUUGGGACAUCCAAUCUUAAAGGUAUGACAUCUUGGGACUUUCCUUUUGCAGCCUCCUCCCUUUCCUCCAACUUCCUUGUUUCCCUAAGCUCCACAUAUGGGUAGUAAUGCUGGUACAUGUACAAGCAAAAGCCUCGACGACACAACUUGAUUUGCAUUUAGAGCUCAUGCUUCCCAUGUCUUCUAGAGAAUCUUACCGCAAACCACCAUUAAGAGAGAGCCAAUGGCUAUAAUUCAUGAAUGGAGGUUACCAGAGGUUCUUUACUCUUUUUAAUCAGAAAACAAGGUCAUCCAACGAAAUAAAAAACCUCCUACGUCUCCAUUUUCAAGUUUAUCAUACAUACUUUAGAUGAUCAAGGUUAAAAGGUGGUCAUCUCAUACAUUAUUUGUCCAUAUCUUUUUCCAGCACAUCACCCUAUUUAACAAGUAUUUACUCGGUCCUUUUUACAAAGACAAACCCUCCUCAAGUUUUGGCAUUUCGUACAUCACCGAACCCUAUUCGAAAUCUGGAGCCUUAUCAAGAGAAAAAUCACUCAUAGUCUUUUAACUUGUCACACCACCUUCUCUACUUGGUUUGUGUUAUUGCUUACCAUUUCCAGCUCAAUAUGAAGAUCAACCAGCACUUGCACAAUCAAACUCACUCGCAGAAAAUUUUCGUUCCAAAUACGAAAUAUUAAGGAAAAUAUCGUAUGAGUUUCAACAUCAAAAGAAGCAAUUAUGUUUAAGCUGUAACUGAAACAUACAAUGGCAAAUUGGCAAUUUAGGCUGCGGUGAAGAAAACAUAAAACGCAACUUCACGCACUUUAAGACAUACUCAUUUAAAGUUACAGCUGGUGCUAAAAGUUCUUGCAAUUCCUGUGUUGCACAACAGUUCCCUGCAAAAACAAAAUGGAUACAAUCUUAGUCAUAAGCUACAACACAUUAUUUCAUUAGUCAUGAGAAAAAUUGGAGUCAUUCACAACAACCAAAACCCUUCCCUGUCUUUAACUUCUUGUAAUUGACUCCAGUUUUCUUAACGAGGCCAAUAAUAUGCAUCCGCUAAGAAUUAAAAACGAAUCUUGCUAACAUAAGCAGAAACAAGAAAUCGCAGUAUGAUUAGCAAUACAGAAGCAAUUUCGACAGAGAACUGUUGAAAUUUGAUUUAAAUAAAUUUUUAGCAUGGAUGUAGGAGGUAAAAACAAGAGAAUAAAGACGAGUAUCAUAACUGCCUACACUGUGCAAACUAAAUUCGUACAAUUGCCAGCAGGAUAAUUGUGCUAUUGAAUCUGGAUCUACUUUGCCUAAAUUUAUUUUACAGGCAUAUCAGAGUAUGAACCAGCACUGAUCCAGGAAAUGAAAGAGGGAUUCAAUAGGUUUAAGAAAUUUUCAUCUGUAUCAAAUGGAAGGGAGUAGCAGCCGGUAAAAAGGUUGGUAAGCCAACACAGUGGAACUAUAUCCGGGUGUUUUAGAAUAUACAUCUUUCCUUAAUUGAAGUCAUAUAUAAGCAUAUUUCGCUACCAUGAUGUUGUGAAUCAAUAUAAACCAGCCAAAUUUUCUGACUUGUCCUUUGCAGUCUGCAUCACUCAGAACUGUCCAGCAUUUUACCCAUGAAGAAGAGUUUAUGCCCAUUUAACCUCUCUGUACCUUUUCUUCACCAACAUUUAAUUGGAAACCUCAUGCAUUACCUUCAUGGAAUUAUCUAAGCAACUAAGCAUUUUAAUGUUUUCCAUGUAUACAAUAUACAACCACAAAAGACCAAACUUAGCUUGAGUAUUCUCAUACUUUGUCCUGACUAUAACCAUAUAAGCCUUAAUAAACUUUGUCACCUGCUUCUGAGUUCCCUGUUUGCCACUUCCAGUAUGGUAAAAAGUAGACCACCACAAAAGAUCUAACAUAGCUCAAGUGUUCUCAUAAGUUGUUCUAAACAUAGUCGUACGAGACAAAAGAACUAUUUCACUUGCUUCUGAGGUCGGGGAGUUCAACUUUCAAUAUGUCAAAAGAAAGUUACAAUGAGAAGGAUUGCUAGGCCUCCUAUUCUACUGAAUUGCCCAAUCAAGUGGAGUAUAUGAACAAUUUUAAAAAAAAAUAAUUUCUUUACCAUUUCAUUUAUUUCUUCCAGUGACUUUUAGCUGUUCUAUCACAUAUGACUGCAAAUAUAGCUGUAGAUGUGGAAACCUAGUAUUAAGUACUUCCAUACAUGAACAAGACAAAAACCUACAACUUAUCUCACUUCAUUCAUAACCGUUGAAGUUGCUCCUAACAAAUAUCAUGCCACAUCUAAGCAAAUGCCAAGCUAGCCACAUCACAAACUUUUUGUUUUUUCAAUGCAAAAAGACAUAAUUUUUAUCAACAAAAGGAGGCAGGUACUUGCAAGGAAACAGCAUACAGCAAGCAUCCUUUUAACACAAGGACGGGAGGUAUGGCUGAAGUUCAGCAAUUUGGAGCAACCAACAACAAUGAGAAGGGCAUUCAAGAUAUGAGGAGUUCAUAUUUUAACCACUCGUCGGAAAAACAGCAAAAGAAAUAGAGGUACUAAGAGAACUUCAGCAGCAGUAUAUAACAUGCCCAAUAUAUACCAUGACUAGCAAAUGCAGGAUUGAUGGAGAAUUGGUUAUUUCAAGAUCCCAGCAAGGAAUCACAAUUGCCUUGUACACGAUUUUUAAGGAGCAAAGAUUUCAGUUUACAUGAAAAUUAAAAAGGAAAGAAAACACGUAACCAGAAAAAGCCGAUCACAAAAGAAAACAAAGCCAAAUCAUCCGCCCAACUUUUUAUCGAAAUUAGCAAUUAAAAUGUGAUCUUGCAAAAACAGGCAAUACUAAAAUAUUAGUACCUUCUACAAAACUCGGCAAAAUAUCGGAAGCCAUUGUAGAAAACAAACCACAUCAAAACGACCACCAAGAUAUCUAUCAAACUGUUAAGUAUCCCACAUCAAUCAACUCCAAUAAAGAUCCAAAUUACAGCAUAGAGGAUUGCAUUUAAAAUUUACAGAAAUCUAAUCAUUAAAGCUUAUGAGGAAAUGAAUCAGCCAAAAGGAUACUGAAGAGGCAACGUUCCCACCAGUCGAGCAUGUAGAGUCCGAAAGUGACAUUAUAUAAAUAAAUUUUACGUUGAAACCAAUUCAUUCUUUAAUUUUGUGAGACGCUUAUGAGAAUGAUAUCAGAGAAUCAGUUGAAAAAUUUUCAACUAAUUGAAUGAUAUCAGAAUCGAGUGAAUCAAAUUGAAGGAUGAGAAAAUUCAGCGGCGAAUUUGUGUUACCUUGCUCUAGGAAAUUUUUCCCAGCUGCACAUCCGAAAGAUGAGUUCAGACAAUCGUUAACAUUAGCCGCCAUUUUAAGGAGUCGAGCUCGGAUCAGAUGGCUACAAAGGUUAAGUUUUUUUUUUUUUUUUUUUUUCAGUUUACUUCUCUCUCUCUCUCUCAAGGACUUUAGGCUUUUUAGAAUGAAUUUAUUUUUGGUCAAAUUCCUCGGACACCCUUCGUGAGUUUUUUAAGUUAGGCUUUUUAGAGUGAGUUUUUCUUCCACAAAUAUCUCCAAAUCAACGUUUGCAAUCUAUAAAAAGUUUCGAAUCUAGAUAUCAUUAUUGAGGGUGCAAAUGUUUGAUCCUUUUUAUAGAGGUAAAUGUUCAUUUAGGAACUUUGAAAAAAAAUUACUAAGGUCUAAUAUUACUAGAAACAAGUAAUCAUUUGCAACAUUGGAUUAUGCAUGGUUAAAUUUUUCACUAAUAUGUGUUUGGAUUGUAAAUUAUUUGAGAUAAUUUUAUGAAAAAGUACUGUAACAUUUUUUUUUAUAUGAUGUAUGUGAGAUAAAAAGAUGAUUGAAAAAUAUAUUGAUAAUGCAAGCAAAUUAGUGUGUGUAAAACUUAAAUUCAAAGUAUAAUGGGUAUAAGUGGACAUUUCAAACCAUAAGAGAUAUGUCUUAAAAUCACUUAACUAUAAAACACGUAUGUGAAAUUGAUCUUUUAUUUUUGUUCUUUUUAUUGUUCGAUGCAAUUUUUUCCCUUUUUGUCAUUUUGCCAAUUACUCUCUUUUCAUUUUUUGGGCUCAUUUUCAGGAAAAGGAAUGAGUUAGAAAAUUCAAAAUUAUUUUUCAAAAAAAAAAAAGAGAUUAAAAACAAGUAAAUAAUUGCCCAUUACCCCAAAAAAUGACGUGUCCUUGCGCAUACAUUGCAGUUGUAAUUUGUAAGCAAUUUGUUUUGUAGAUCUCGCAAUUACUAUAUAUAAAUUAAAAAAUUUACUAUUACAUAAUUCAAAGUAAUUCAAAUUUUAAAAAAAUAACACAUCAAAACAGAGUUAAUUAAUUGUAUAGUACCACAAAUUAGCACUCCUAUCUUUACAUGCGAUAUGGAAAGCUAAGAUGAAAGAAGUUAAAAAAAAAAAAAAAUUGUCUUCCUCUAAGCUAUCGUCUUAAAAGUAGGAGUCAAACGAAAAAAAUGAAUUUAUUUAGAAAAAAGAAUAAUCACAAAAUUUUCUCAAAUAUGCUUAAUAUUUUUUAUUUCAAUUUUCAAGAAACAAAUUUUGAAAACAAAAACCAUCACCAGCCUGAGUCGACAAAAAAAAAAAAAUUAUGAAAGAAAAGAAAAGAAGAGAAAAAAUAUUUCUUUUCAAAUUGAUAGACAGAUUAAAAAAGAAGAAAAUAAUUGUAGAUUCAUUAGAUAUUAUCAUUUUAUUAUUGAACAUUUUAUUCACAACUUUCUUUCCAUUUCUUUCAACCUAUCCCUCCAUUUCCUCUCUUUUUAUUCCCACUUAAAACUUCCAAACAAGAGAAAUCCCUUCUUCUUCUUCUUCUUUUUCCUUCUUUGCUCUCCAAAUCUCACCCUUCAAAAAGGAGGGGGCAAUUGAGUAAUUAAACCCUGGACUAAACCCUUCCCGAGUAGAACAACGGCGGCAAAAUUUUCGUGGAACUGUUCUUACAUUCGAGCUUCCUUCAAAAAUCUCUUCUUCCCCAGCUUUGCUCCGCAUGCAUUUUUCUUCACAGCUUUAGGCCAAUACCAUCAGUAGCGGCGGACAUGGACUUUGACGACCUGGACGAGCCGAGCCAGGCUCCAACCCGGCCCUCUCGUUUCGCACCCAAGGGCUCCAAAUUCAAACCUAGAACAGAGCCAGUUGCAGCAACCUCGAACUCCAUUGCUAAAAAGGAGGAAUUAGAUUCCAAACCAGUAUCACCGAUUAAUUCCUCCACCACCGCUGCCGCUGGAAAAGCUGAAGAUGCAGCAUCCGCUUCCGUUUCCCAAUCCGUGGCAAUGGAUGUCGAUGCGAAGGUGGAAGAAGAAGCAGAGCAACCGAAAGAUGAACCGAUGGAGUCGAGAGAAGAAGGAGAAGAUGAAAUUGUGAGAGAAAUUGAUGUUUAUCUGACACCUUCUAUUGAUCCUAAUACCAAGGUUAGUGUUUCUGCUUUAAUUAAUCUGUACAAAAUGUUCUAGUGAUUUUUUUCUUUGUUUACAUUAGUUUCUAUUUAAUAUUUCAGCUAUACGUGUUGCAAUAUCCUCUGAGGCCAUUGUGGCGGCCAUAUGAAUUAGAUGAUAGAUGCGAAGAGGUGCGUGUUUUUCCCUUUCUUACCUAACUUAGAAUGAUAGGCUGGGUUAAGUUUCAUGUGUUGACAUUCUUUUAGAAAAAUUGAAUCAAAGAGUGGAAUGAACUGCUGUAUAGGAAGGAAUUUGAUCCCAUUCUUAGGUUGAGUACUAAAGGAGGGGUUUGGGAUUGAUUUGCAGGUGCGAGUGAAGUCUAAAAGUGCUGAAGUAGAAGUUGAUUUGGCAGUUGAUGUUGAUUCCAAGAAUUAUGACUCUGAUGCUGAUCCUAGAGUUUCAAUGACUAAGCAGGUAGCCUGUUUUCUAAUUUCAUUAUUCAUGUGUUCUGUCCAAAUUAUACAAGUGUGGCAAAUUUUGACAGAAAUCAAGUCUUUUGAUGUAGCAAUUGCUUUUGAACUACUACUAAAUGAAACCUUGCAACAGCACAGUGACAUAGCUUAUAGAGUUUAUUGGAUGAGGGACCUGAUAAGGCCUCUCCAAGUCCAUAAGAAGUAUCUUUAUAAGUGAUGUACUUCCCAGCAUAUGCGCCUGAUUGCAAAAUCUGUAGUCUCAAUGGGCUUCCACAUGAUCCUGUGUUUUUUCUGAUUAAAUAAAGCUGAUAGGAUUCUUGAAGUAUUAAAGUUCCUUGUAGCCGUUUGAAGUUUCCGUGAACUACUAGCUACAUCAUAGCUAAACUCCUAUACCUUUUGUUUUUUUUUGGGGGUCCUAGAUUGCCCAUAGUUUGAUAGAGUUUUAUAUUUUGUGAUUGGAUGAUUUUCUUUGUCUUCAAAGAGUUUUUGUUUCAUAUCUUUAUGCUAUUAGUAUGGCUGGGAUUUGUUUUUCUGUGUGAUUUCUGUUGAAUCUCGUUUGAUUUAAGUAUAUUACCAGUAUAAUCCAUAAUAUGUUUGCCUGUGGUCCUUUCCAGACUCUUACCUCAUCAUGGAAGCCACCUGUCACAGCUGGAUAUGCUGUUGGAGUUCUUGUUGGAAACAAGGUAUGCUCUUUUAUCUCGUUGAUUCUCAUUUUACAUGUAUUUUGUGUUUUUCUAUUUGGACUUAUUGGACUCUAUGCUUUCUGUUUGGUUCUGUUAUUUCUGGUUGUUUCUUGCCUUGACCUUCUUCUCGUCUAACAUUAUAAGCAAUUGAAACUUAAAAUUGUAGGUAAUACUCAUGGUUAUCUCACUGUAGCAGUAUGAUAGCAGGACUCUACAAAGUUGAAUUGCAUUGCAAAUUAAGAGAAAUCAAAUUCAACAAGAAAAUUUUUGACAUUUCUGGACAUAAAUGUCCUUACCAACUUUAGCAGGAGCAUUGAAACAAUGUAUUCACUGAGAGGCAGACUGUCUAUCUACCGCAGUUUUCCAAGAGACGAAUCAAUUAAAUGACUAGUCACUGCAUAAAACAUCCACCUUUCUGUGAAUCUAUUUGCACUUGUCCAAGAGAAAGAGAAGGAUAAAGAUUGCGUAUUCAUCAUAUCCACACUCAUAAGCACAGACGGCAACUGACAGUUGAGAAAACUUCUGGCAGAACUAUCACUGAUAUACCCACAAGUCUUUAUAGAUAGUUACUUAUUUUCUGCUGAUUUUGGGCGCUCCCCUCUAGAAUACGGUGAAAUUAUUAGAAAUGAAUGGUUGUUGGUUGACCUUUGCCCGUUUUAAUUCUUGUUUGACUUUUGCUAAAUGAAAUUAGUUAUAACAAUACUCAAUUAGAAGAUUUUUCUUGUACGUGUGACUUGUUUCGCAUUUCUAUAUUGUAAAGUUCUAUGAUUGCUUUUUUGUCAUGCAGUUACACCUGAAUCCUAUUCAUGCAGUUGUACAGCUCCGACCUUCAAUGCAGCAUUAUAAGCCUGAGAGUUCUAAACGGCGAACUACUGCAAGCAGUAACCUUGAAGAUAACACAAAGGGGGAAGAAGUAACUACUGGGUCAUUGAAGAAGCAGGUUCUGCAUUCUGCCCCUCUUUUCUCGUUUUGCCAGUGAAGCUACUAUACCUUUUAGUCAUAAUUUUUAUGAGGUCCAAUGAUCUGAUGAAAUGGAAGAUGUAAAACAUGCUCACUUUUAAUGAUGAUGAGGAUACAACUGGAAUAUUUGAUUUAUCCAAGCUUAAUCUCUCUCAGGAUUUAAUCCCCUUGGUUAAUUCUAGACUUCAAAGCGAGAUGUAUGGUGUUGGGGUCUUUGCUAGGCAUCUAGACAGUGCUAUUGCAGGCACUUUUGUAGGGCUAAGUUUUAUGUAUCAUUUCUGGAUUGAGUCAAGCUAAAUAAAGCAUUUCUGAGUGUCCAUUAUCUGAUCAGAUCUUAUAAACUUGGAUUACUUCAUCUGCAGGGUAAGUCAUCUGGGCCUGUGAUUGAGCAGAACAAAGAUACUAGAGAGGUAUCCUUCCAUUUGGUCUUUAAAUUGUUCAUCAAGAAAAAAUUCAUUCAUAUUAAUCUCAGCAACUAUCGUUCAUUUUAAAAAUUCAUUCAUGCAAUUGUCUUUAAAUUGUUCUUCAAGAAAAAAUUCAUUCAUUUUCCUCGCAUAGGUUUGUCAUUUUUAUUAUGACUACGGUCCUUGAAAUAGAGAUUAGAUAACUACAGUAUUUUGUUAAAAAUUCAAAGCUACAGCAUUUUGUUUUGUGCUUUUUAUUGUAUGGAAAAAUUGGUAAAGUGGAUUCACAAUCACGAGUGUGAACAGCAUAUCUUUAUGGAUUGAGUGAUUUAUUUAUUUAUUUACUUUUUGCUUAUUAAAUGAUAGAUGCGCCUUUUACAACUUAUCAGUCUCUUUGUUCUUCUCCUCUUUCUCAGGAUUGGAUACCUCUCAACUACCAUGGAGCAAGGAGUGAUAUUUCGAUGAGUUAUGUGAGAAAAAUGGUUGAACAUGAUUCUUCUCAUAUACAAUUUUCAAUGAACAGGUAUGAUUCAUUACUGUAUUUUGUAUCCUGUUAGUAAUGAGUUAGAACCCACCUGGAAUCUGCUGAGCAAAAAUGUGAUGCAGCUUGAGUAGAAGACAGUUUAAAGAGUUUAGCUUCUGAAGCUUUUCGCUUUAACCCCAUUUGUUUUUUGUUUUCAAUUUUGAAGGCAUGACUAUGUGAACACCUUGUGUCCUGGCACAUCAAAUGAGAAUAAUGGAUCCAAUGGGCCUUCGAGAAGGUAUUUAACACAUUAAUUGAGUGAUAGGUGACAUAAGCACUGAUUUUUAUGUUACAAUGUCAAAUUUUUUCUUUCUUAAUUUCGAAUUUUUUACAUACAAACUCAUUGGGGUUAAAUUCUCUAUCAUACGGGAUGACUUGUUGAUUUCUAACAGUGGAUAAGAAAAUGUCUGUUUAGUGGAUGAGUAAUUUACAUGCUCAUUUGGCUUUGGCUGGUUAGAGUUGUACCUCAUAUGGUCCUUUAGCUUUCUUUAGAUACGUUGAUAUCAGGUCAUCCACUGUCGUCUGUAGGAAUACAAUUUUGAUGUUGCUUUGGUACAAUAUUUGUUGGCUUUUUGCUGUGGUGGUAGAAUCGUGUUUCAUUGCUUCACUCAAGUGAUCUCAUUGUCUGAUUUUUUCCUGUUCCUGCCUUUACAUCCCGUCUCAAGAGCCAGCAAUGACUGACAUUUGGUGAUAGGGACUCUCCAAAUGCUCAGUUUCUUAUGGAACUUAUAUUUAUUUCUAUUCCUGCAUUUUCUUUUGGUGCUAAUUUCUAUUCGUGCUUUUGAGAUUGUCUCUCUUUCUGAAUUGUUGAGACUCCAGGGUUUUGCUCUCAUUGCCACUUGAAGAACGAUUUAGAACUUGGCUUCUUCAGGUACAUUCUGCUUAUUUGGACUCGUGAAAUUCAUUGAAUGAAUGAACUAUAGAUUUUUAUUGGAAUCUGAGUGAUGACUGUAGUUGAUCUGCUUUUAAUUUUAUGAAUUUAAUUAGUUUUUCAGUAAUGCUGUUUCUUGUUUGGUUGUGUAUAUCUUUUGUAAAUUUUCAAUGUUCAACUUACACAUUCUGCUCUUUGUUUGGACAUAUAAUCCUGUAGCAGAAACACUACCUGGAGUAUGCAUGGCAGACCCAAAAAAUUGGUGAUACCAAAGAAUUUCAUCCGUUGGCAAAUGUGACCACAAAUACUCUCUUGGCAUUUCAUUUACUGGUCGAGGAUUUCUUAAAAUUGUGAAACUUUGCAAUGUCGAAAUAUGAUACUAUUUUAUUGCCAAUGAGUUCCAUCUGACAGUAUACAAAUUGCUAGAUAUGCCAUAUUGAAGUAUCAAAAGUCCAGAUAGCCCUGGGUCAGUUAUUACAGAAGUCAUUAGCUUGUAAUGGGAUUGCAUAGCAAGCACUUUUUGCUAGGAUCAUUGGAGAGGUGCUUGUAAACCCAAAGCAGUAGCAUGGUAUACUGAAAAAUUCAUAGGACUUAUCACUUAGAACGAUGGAAUGCUAUUUCUGUACCAUCUGAUUAACCUUGCUGGCAAUAGAUGCUCCGAUUUCCUACUUGACUGCUGGUCAGCUCAUUGCAGAUCAAAAUUCAACAUGUUUGGAGUUUUAAUUUUUAGCAGAUUGGACAUGGGUAUAAAGUUUUUUGAGGGUUGUAUCACCACAGCAUUAAUUCUUUUAUCUGUUGCAGUUUCUGUUCACAAUUCCCAGCUUCUGCCUACUUGGUUUUUAGUCAUCAUGGGAAGUUAGAGUUGAUGACCUUGUACUUGUAAUUCAGCUUUAUAACUUUAUUUGAAGUAAUGUGGAGAAAAACCUUCACAAAUGUGAUGGUCCUGGGCCUCUGCACUUCUGUUCAUCAACUUUCUCUUCUUCAAUUUCAAACUUAAUAUGACAAAUAGAUCUAGUGUCUUGAUGUACACAAGGGCCUUUCUAAUCCAAAACUUUUGUCUGACAUUACUGAAUUGUUAGAAGUUAGCUACCCAUCUCUGUUUUAGACAGAUUGUUAAAGACAAUUAAGAGAUUUUUUGUUGUAAUGCUUCUCAAUUAUCCUCCUUUUUUUCCUUUAUUGACAUUUUUUAAAAUUACUUUGUUGGUAUACCUUAAUUUGUUUAUUCCCCGUUUAAUCAGUUAGGUAGUUAUUAUUAUUAUUAUUUCUAUAGGGGCCUCCAAUCCAUCGUUUUGAUGCUUUAAAGCAUUUGGCACCUGAUGCAUCUGUCGAGGAUAUCUUGGCAGUCCUCAGCCAACACGCUCAAUUAGUUCAAGGCUUGUGGAUUCCCAAAAGUUCACUGCUGUAUGGAAAAGAUCAAGGAAUUGAUGCUUUAGCGAGGGAUUAUGUUCUUCUUCUGUUUAGCAGGACUCCUAUUAUUAACAAUUCACAACUACCACAACAACAGAAACUCAAUAGAGCUAUGAGAGAUGUACUUAACACAGUAGCUUUUGAGAGAGCUUCUCUUAAUGAUUGGAAGUUCAAAGAGCCUCCUGACAUGACAUUCAUAAAACUUAACCCUAAGAUUGUCAGAGAACAGGAACAAACUUGGGAACGCUUGGAGAAACUGAUAACUGAAAAGAUCUUUGUAGAUAAAAACAGGCCUGCUACUAAAAACUCUUCAAGGCCUCUCACCACAAAUAACCCUGCAACAUCAAAGAGUUUAAGUAAGCAUGCAUCAAAUUCUUUAAAUGCAGGAGUGCCAAGGAGACCAAUGUCAGAAGAAACUCGCGAGGCUUUACCAAAGGCCCUUCAGAAACUUUUUCAAAGUCACAAGGUUUGCAGGUGAUUUUUUUUUCCUGCCUUUGGUUAGAUAUUGCUAGUAUUGUUAGCAUUCUUAACUUCAGGUUAUUAUGUACGGUUCAUGCCAACCACUUCUUCUUCUUUUCUUAUUUAACGAAAAAUGGUAGAAGGGAGUAUCUACACAAAACAAGGGCAAGCAUCAGUACUACAAACUGCUAAAGCAGUGGUGUGACAAAAACCAACCUACAAAACUAACAACUGUUUACACAACAGCAUUACAUUAAAAAUAUCUUCAGGCAAUAAUUUUUGCUCAAAAGUACUAGAAGGCAGGGUUCAUCCAAGGGCCAGGGACCUAUCAUCCUAAGUGCUUCGAAUAACUUUCUAAGAAGCACACACACCUCUUACAUUUGUUAACUGUAUCAACACAGAGUUCAGGGAUGCACACAGUAAAUGUGUUGUAGCUGGUUUUGACCCAAGUAACAAUUGAUUUGCUAGUUUAGUCCCAGUCUGUGGGAUGUAGAACCAUCUACCAUGUAUUUGUGAUAGCUAUAGAAAUGAGAUCUAGUUUCUCGACAGAAGUAUGUGUGUUGCAUGGAUGAGCAAGUUUAUUGUUAGUCCCUUUUUCAUGAAGUCUCCUAUCUGCAACUCAGCCACUAAUCAAGACAUUAACUGUUUAAUUGGAUGGUUUUUAUUUUUCUUCCCUGCUAGCAACUUAAGAAAUAUGUAUUGACAUUGACAGCUUCCAACAAAUUUGCCAGCGUCUAAGGGAAAUGGCAGUUUCUGAGUCUUCCCGUCCAAAGGGAUUUGCUAGAGAAGCAAUAGCUGCAGCACAUGGUGUUGAAGCUCCUCCAGAGGAGCUUCAGGCAAUCAUUAGUCAAGUCGCAAUUAACAUUCAUGGUGUUUAUGUUUUGAAAUCAUCCCCAGUUCACCCCGAACAUGAUGAAUUCAGGUUAUUGCUAGAUCUCCAGCCCCUACACUUUUCCUAUUUUUAUUAUUUACUCAGUGCAUAGUCAAGAUUAGUUUUCAUUUGCAGGAAAGUUGUCAUUGAUCUUUUCAUUGCUGAAGGACCAAACGCAAAGCUUAAGAAGGCCUCAAUGAUAGAAGCUGCUAAAUUGCAGCUUAAAAGGGAUAUUAACAGCCUGGAAUAUCAAAAGGUCAAGCGUCAGAGCUUGAGUGCUUUAUUUGUCUGUUUGCUAUCCUUUUGGUUUGCCCAGAGCAAAAUUAUUAGAUGCUAAUGGUCACGUCCAUAAACCAACUUCAGUUUUUGCAUGAGAUAGAUGCUUUUUCAAAUGACAAAGUGGGAGCUGCAUAAUGAAGAAUAAGUAGCAUGUGACAUAUCUUAAAAUUGAGUAGUAGUGCUUUGCUCUCUUUAUUGGCUUAAGUGAUGAUGUAAUAAGUAGAUUAUACUUUGAAGUAGGUAGGAACUCUACUGAAUAUGGGAGUGUAGGUGCUGUCUGAAACUCUGGAACUGAUAGAGCAAAACAAGAAAGCUAUGCAUUUGAAAUACUAUUAAUAAAUUGAGGUGCACAGUCUGGUCAUCUUGCAAGUCUGUCCUUGCUUGUUGUAGUGGAGCAUUGACAGUCUCAUGGGUCACUCUUGAACAGAUUUUACCUUACGCUUUUGUCGAAUCUGCAGUUUAGCUAAUCUUUUACCCUAUUGUUUUCAGGUUGUACAGGAACUAUGUGUAUCUCAAGGUUCGGCUUGGGUCUUGAAAAGUGGUGAUGGAAACCCGAAAUGAUGCUUCCCCCAUUCAGAAUGUUUAAGGUACUAAAGUUAAUUAACACCAGAAGUCAUAUGAUUGAUUGUGGAAAAAAUUUAUGAUAACUGCUGCACAUUGGUUUGUCUGAGCACAUGUUAUGAAAUGGUGACACACCUAGAGAAUUACUUGUCUGAUAGAUUGAUUUGUAAAAAUGCCUGGAACCUUUGUUGCUUCUAUGAAUCUUGUUAUACUUCCACCGAUGAUGUCAAUGGAGAAUCACUUUUGACGAUAUAGCUGCAUGGAACCUAAGAACACUUUUGUUGGUGGGAGUACUUUCUGAGUUUUUGGAAGUUACAUCUGAUGGUAGGGGUGGAGUUUUUUCUGUGUUGUUGUACCAUACAAAAACUAAUUGGUUAAAUUAUAAUUCCCAUGAAGUGGUUGUCAUUGCAGUAAAUGAUACUAUAGGGGCUACUUCUUUAGCUGCUGAAUGAGGUGGUUGUGUGGCACUGCUCAUCCCAUGCACGCUGGAAAUAUGAUUUCCAUUUUUCAAUUUUCUCUCUAGACAUGAAACUGACCGUUCAUGAUGUAGCUUUAGAAAAAAAUUUUGGCGUUAUUUACUGUAGCACCUUUUUGGUACAAUGGAUGCAAGAUAAAAUGGUAGUUUGAAAACGUGUUUUGUGAAUAAUAAGAAACACGUAGUUUGAAAAUUGUACCUUUUUGGUACAAUGUAUGCAAGAUAAAAUGGUAGUUUGAAAACGUGUUUUCUAAAUAAUUCAAUCCAAACGAACUCAAAUGGCUUCCCUUUUCAGGUACUCGAGGUUGAUUCAGUGUGAUAGAUUGCUCAAAAAUGUCAUCUGAGGGUGAUUCUGUUUGAUAGGUUGCUCAGAAAGGGUAUCUGCUUAGGUCAACGGAUGAGGUGAUUAUCGCACUUCUUGUUUGGUAGGCAUAAUUUGUGCAAAUUACGUUACACUUGAGGUGAUGACACUUGACAGUUUACUUAGUUCUUAAAUCUGGAUCUUAUUAUUGAAAAAAUUUGUAAACAAUCAGCUUAUUUCAGUGCCUAUUUGCUUAUUUCAGUGAUGAUGUUCAAGCUCUUUACAUGAUUGUUAAUGUCAACAGUUUGUGCGGGCUUUUUUGUGCAGGAACACUAUCCCUGGUAAUUGGUUCGUUUUCUGGAAACUUAUAAGCUGACUCAGGUGGGUUAAUGGGGACAUUGUGGUCAGUCCACUGUAGAUACUUGAUUCCCACCAGAAUUUAGAUUUAGUAGAUUUUUCAAAUGAAACAUACAUUAUGCAACAAAUGAUUACAGAAGUAGUUAAGUGUAUCCUAUAGAAAAGAGGUAUAAUGUUCCACAGAGAGCAAACAAAGACCGGGAACCGAUUGCGUUGCCUGUGAGGUUGCAUUACUUCGUUGUGGAACACAUUUGUCUGUACCAUGUACAUCGAGGAUCAAUUUUUUUUUUUUUCUGUAAAAACAUAUUUUUAACUUCUUCGAAAGCCUUUGUGGCGUUACUGGCAUGAACUCCUCUUUGUUGUGCCACUGCAUGAUCGUCCUUACAUAUAUAUAUAUAUAUAUAUUGGUAAAAGUGAUCGUCUUUAAAUGCUGCUCCUAUUGUACAACUUUUGUGCCGCGGUCAUAAGAAUCUGGAACUCUUAACUGCGCUGCAAUUAGCGUUGUAGAUCCCUGCAUAUGACGUUCGAGCCUCCAAGGCCACGUCUCGGGCUUUUAUUUCACCAGGAUUGAGAUUCAUUGUAAAUCUCUGUCACGAGUCCAAGACAAAAAUGAUUUUUGCACCAAUAAUAAAUCUUGACAUUGUGAUCUAACCUUAUUUUAAUCUAAUCUUAGAUUGGAGCACAAUGUAAGUGGUAAUUAGGGCCGAAAGAAAAAUCAAGCUGCUCGAGUUGAAAAACAAUCGAGUUCCUUGGUACGUAAAUUGAGUUUGGUUCAAUAAAGGUUUAUUUGAAUUUGAUUGGCUAAUUAACUAAAUCAACUUGGAAUAGCAUAUUAUAUUUGAUAAAUUUUCAAGUUCGACUUACAUGUAAAACAUUCAAAUUUUCAAAUUCAGUUUAAACUCGGUUUGAUACAAGUUUAACUUGAUAAAAUCUCGUUUGAACUUGAUUUAAAAAGUAAACAAUCCAAAGUUGAACAUAAUUUAAAAUUUGCUAAAAUAAUCAAAUAUAUUUGAAAGCAAGGAUGUUUGCCUUGUUUAGACUCAUUUACAUUCUUAAAGGAUAUAAAAAAAAAAAAAUUGUUUUCAAGAAUAGUAAUACUCCACCAAAUCUCUUAAUUUGCCCCUCAACCGUUUACAUCUAGACUAGAUUGAUAUAGCCCUUGUGGUUAUACGGACUUUUAGCAGGAAAUGUCAUUGCAAUUACAGCUAAAAAGUUCUCCUAUUUGAAGGUAAAUAAUUCUUCUCAUACUAAUCCAGUCAAUUGAAAAGAAAAAAAAAUAUCUGUCAACUGAAGCAAGGAAAAUAGAACGCAAGUUUGAGCUUCAGGGAUUCAAUUAUGUUUUGCUGUUUACUGUUUAUUCAAAUAGAUGCUACGUGAUAAAUUUGUAGUUUUCCCUCAAAAUCUUCUAUUUAGUUCUUACAAGUUCCUAAUUCUGGCCAGUUUCAGUCAAUUUGUUAGAAUUCAGUUGGAAGCAUUUGGUUUGUCAAAAAGUGUUUUUUUUUUUUUUUCAGAGCAAGAAAAAAUUAAUGUUAUAUAUUGGAUUCAAUGCUACAAUUCCCAUCAACAGUAUAUCAUUGUCGGUGAUUCUAUGAAUAUAAUCUACAAACAUUUUGAAAUUAUGAAAAAUACAUUUCUAAAUUAUAAUCAUGAAGUCCAAAUCCAAUUCAAACUCGAGUUGAACUCAAAAAAAAAUUUUCCCCAAUAAACCGGCUCGCGUGUUAUAUGUAUGCCAAUAUAAACUCUAAACCUUUUCCUUUUGAUAUCUUUUACUUACAAAAUAAGGGUUUUUUUUAUUGAGUAUAAAAUAAGAUGUGUGUACAGAUUUUGUCAAAAAAUAUGUGUAUAUAUAUAUAUUUAUAUGUAUAUGUAUAUGAGUAUACAUAUGUAUUAGGCUCCCAAGUCUUUUUCAGGUCUACAGUUGGAUAUAUAUAUAUAUAUAUAUAUAGGCUGGAUAUAUGUGUGUGUAUAUAUAAAUUGGCUGGACUAUAUAAAUGCUUGCAAGCCCUAGGAGCGAACCCAUCUCAAGUGUUCCCAAAAUAGAGAAAAGGCAGCCGAGAAGGGAGAGAACAAAUAUUCAAGUGCUAUUCUUUUACUGGAGAACUAACAGAUAAGAUGCCGGAUUACGAAGGCAACGGUGGAGAUGAUCUAGAGAACUACGGUGGCUCUUCUCCUCAACCCCGUAUUAACAGUCACGGAGGUGCCGAUGAUUUUAGCGACUCCAGAUCUCAAGUACUUUCGAAUUCUUAUGCAAAUUGAUCUUUUUCUUUUUGUUUCUGAUUUGUAUAUACGAAGGCAUAGAAUCGAGCGAACUGCUUGUGUUUAUCGUAAUUGUUUUUAUUAUAUGUUUUUUAAUUGCAGUUGUUCACUUGAAAUUGCGACUAGUUAUGUAUUUAAUUCAGCAAUUGGCUGCCCUGAGAAUCGUUUUUGUUGUGAUUAAUCCAAUUUUUUGCAGAAAUAUGGGUUUGCUGAUGUCUUUUUGAAUGCAUGUUGUAUUAUAUACUUAUUACUCAAAUUAACUGGGGGUUUUACGUUUUUGAUGUUUCAGUUGAGGAAUUAUUAAAAAAAAAUUCAUCAUAGACAAUUGUAUUGAGAGGUUUACUCGAUGGUGCGGGUUAUUUAAUUGGCAACAUUUUUCUCUAUCUGGAAAUAAGUAUUUCCUCUGUUCACCUCAUUUAAUGGCUUUACUGCCUUUUGUUUUGCUAAUGUGCUGAUGCAUUUCUUAUAUCUCUAGCAGCAUUCUCGUGAUGGUGAUAAUAGAGAAAGAGGGUCUUCUAGAAGCAGGGACAGGGAUAGGGAGAGGGAGAGGGGGAGAGACAGGGAUAGGGACAGGGACCGUGAAGGUGAACGAAGCAGAGAUAAGGACAGGGACAGGGAUAGGGACAGGGAACGUGAUAGGGAUAAGGAUCGGGAUCGUCACCAUCGGGACCGAGAUCGCCACCGGGAUCGAAGUGAGAGAAGAGAGAGGGAGGAGAGGACUCGAGACAGAGAUGAUGAUGGUGAUUACCAUCGGAGUCGGGAGUAUGAUAGGUGAGAAAAGUCAUUUGCUGUUGAAAUUAUUAUAUGUAGAUCUUAAUUCUGUACAAUUCUGUCUUGAAUAUACUUGUUUGCUAACUUUUUAAACUGAGGAAGUUCUUUAAACUCACUCAUCAUUUGUUUGUUCAAGACGAAGAGAUUAUGACAGAGAUAGAGAAGAGAGGCAGAGGCAUAGGUCCAGAUCUCGAGAGGGGAGGGCAGAACACCGAUCAAGGUCACGGUCUCGAUCACGCUCCAAAAGGUAGGUUCCAGGGGAUUUCUUCUUGUUUGUAAUAUGUCCUUUUAUGGAGAGCCUAUAAAUUUUAUAAUAUGUCUGUUGGUCUGUAAUGAAGAUUUUUGUUGUGGAAACUAAAUCACCAUAUUUAAUCACUCUAUAGAUAUAAGAUCUGAGAUAAUGAGAGUAAAUGACACAAGGAACAGAUAACAUUUGUUAUAAGUGUGGUGCUAUCCUUUUGCUCUUUGCUGUCAGAGAAUAGUGUUGUAGUUGGACUUUGAAGCUGUGAAGUGAAAUUUUUAGGAUGGUGUUAUGUUUGUGUCCCAGAAACUGUUCAUUUAGUUAGCUGAUCCUUUUACAUAUACAUUUUGCUUUACGUGCAAUAAUUUGAUUCUCAUGGUUUUAAAUAGUUGCAGGGUUGGAAAGGAAUGUUGUGGCACAAAUUGGGUUGUAUUACAACCCUUUUUGUAGCUUAUUUAUUUCUAAUUUGACUGAAACUGUAAUAGAGUAUGUGCUGGAAAAUUCCCAAACUAGCUUGUGCAAUGGUUUGAUGAACCUCUUUUCUGCUAAUCCCUGACGGGAACUUAGCAAAGUCUAUAAGGGUAAUUUUUUUUUUGGGUUAAUCUGAUUAGUGUAUAGAUUGAUGUUAACCGCUUUGUCCUGUUUCUUUUUCUGUUUCUUUGGUAUUAAUGAAGCAUCUUUACAGUAAAAGGAUCAGUGGCUUUGACAUGGCACCUCCAACUAAUCCCUUGAUGCCUGGUGCUACCUCUCUCCCAGGUAUAUGUUCUGUGGGUUAGUUUUCUAUUUAAUUUUGAUAACUUUUUUUUCUCUGUCUUUGCCAUAGUGUGGAAAAGUUCGUACAAAAUUCAUGCUUUCAUUUUGGUAAGCGUCCCUUGUUCUUUAAUCUGUAACUGCAUUGGUAUAAUGCUUGGGCCCUAGUUCCGCUGUUCAGUAUUUAUUUUUCUUAUUGCUUAUACUUGGUGAAAAUUUUCUGAGACUGAGAGGAUUUUUGGUUUUUUGUUGUGUUUGGUGUUUGUUUGUUUGUUUUGUAUGUCUUGGUCUUAAUAUCUAAGAAGGCAAUAUUGGGCUACUAGCCCCACUGUGCUGACACUGGGCGUGAGCCGACUUCUGUAGCUUUUAUUACAAGGAAGAAACAAUCAGGUCUUCUUCAUCUUCAACCAGGAUAUGCAUGUUUGGUAGUUUCAUAGAUAUUUUACCCAGAACAUGAAUAUUUGUAUCCAUUUUAGUUAUUAUUUCAAUUAUAGGAAGAAGAAUUUGAUUUAACUUAAUUAGGAGUAUAGUUAAGAUCAUUUGCUGGAUAUACAAACUUAAAAUUCUUAGGAAGAUGGCUUUCUGUUUUAUUUUCUGAGAUGUAAUUCUUUUAGCCUUUACAGGUCAGGUAACUGGUACUGCUCCUGCUGUUCCUGGAGUCUUUCCCAACAUGUUUUCAUUGCCAACUGGACAGGUACUUAUCUGCCUUCUAUAUGUAAUGUUUUUAAUGCAGUUUACCAUUUUUUUUACCUUGAUUUUAUUUUUGUACUCCUGGCAGCUUGGAGCUCUACCUGUUAUGCCAGUUCAGGCUAUGACUCAACAGGUUGGUAUAUGUUCUUGAAACCUUCCCCCCUUCCCCACCCCCGGUUUUUCUCUCUCCUACUUUGCUUUCUACUUAUCAAGUUUUAUCUUGGUUCUCUGCUUUUCUAUGUUGUCUGAAUGUUUUUUUAUUAGGCCACUAGACAUGCUCGACGAGUGUAUGUUGGUGGACUUCCUCCAACAGCUAAUGAACAGGUAGUACUCCCAUUCCUCGACUUAAUUUGGAACAGUUCGUUUUCAGAAGUUUAUUUGACCUGUUGAAUGUGUCACAUAUUCUACACUUACUGAUGAUGAUCAUUUUUUGAAUGUUUACUUUUGAAUUAUUCAGUCUGUUGCGACAUUCUUCAGUCAUGUGAUGUCGGCAAUUGGAGGAAACACUGCUGGUCCAGGUUAGUUUAUGUAUCUUGCCUUUCUUAUCAGAGUUCAUGGCUUGUAAGUUUCAGAAUUUAAGAGUAUUCCUGGUCUAACUUUCAGGGGAUGCUGUUGUAAAUGUUUAUAUUAACCAUGAGAAGAAAUUUGCUUUUGUGGAGAUGAGGUCAGUUGAAGAGGCUAGUAAUGCCAUGGCAUUGGAUGGCAUUAUUUUUGAGGUAAGUAAACAUUUUAAAUCUUUUCCAAAAGUUUCCUUUCCAUCAUUUUAUCUAUUUGGUUUCCCAUUAUUCUAAAUCUUUGAGCAGAUAGUACUUUACUUGCAAUUUGUGCAUAUAUUUCUACAAGUCUUUACUCGUUUGUACUUGAAUAAACCUCCCAGGGAGCACCGGUUAAGGUGAGAAGGCCCAGUGACUACAAUCCCUCAUUAGCUGCUACUCUUGGUCCUAGCCAGCCCAAUCCAAACCUGAACCUUGCUGCUGUUGGACUGACCCCUGGUUCUGCUGGUGGGCUUGAGGGCCCUGACCGUAUUUUCGUGGGUGGUCUUCCCUAUUAUUUCACGGAAGGGCAGAUCAGAGAGCUGCUAGAGUCUUUUGGGCCCCUUCGUGGUUUUGAUCUGGUGAAAGACAGAGAGACUGGAAAUUCCAAGGGCUAUGCAUUUUGUGUUUACCAGGAUUUAUCAGUGACUGAUAUUGCUUGUGCAGCACUUAAUGGGAUCAAGAUGGGUGAUAAAACCCUCACUGUUAGGCGUGCAAACCAGGGAGUUACACAACCUAAACCUGAGCAAGAAAGUGUUUUAUUGCAUGCACAGCAACAGAUAGCUUUACAGGUAAAACUUUUUGUUUGCUUUCUUAUUCAUGAGUGACUGUUUAAAAUCAUCUUAAUAGUUGAAAGACUUGAAAGUCUUUCUUUUUGAGGAACACAAUUGGGAUUAUACUUCUUAUGGCUGAUUACAAGUGUGCAUCGGGCACACACUUGCAGAAACUCAUGCUACAACCUGGGACACUGGCCACAAAGGUUUUAUGCCUGACACAAGUGGUCAGUGCAGACGAGCUAAGAGAUGAUGAGGACUAUGCAGAUAUAUUGGAAGACAUGAGAUUGGAAUGUGGGAAAUUUGGUAUGUGCCUGAACCUUAAGCUCAAUUGCUUUUUUCUUCUACAUCAUUUUUUUUGGGAAGGGGGGUUGGUGCUGUUCUUGGGUAUAGAUACUUUUUGUGUUAUACCUCUGUUUUGCAGUCCUUUUCUAGUACUACAUUCUGCUUAUCUGAAACGUUGAUAUGCUGAGAGGGGAUUUUAUUCUCUAUCCCUUGCAUUGGAAUUUUUGGUUUGCCCCUUUCUCGUUUAUAGACUUGAUACUAAUUUUCUUUUUUAAAUUUACUUUCGCAGGUACUUUGGUGAACCUGGUUAUCCCACGGCCAAGUCCCACUGGUGAUCCAACACCAGGUGUUGGAAAGGUUAGUUGGAGCUGCAUGCAUCUCUUACAUACAAUUGUGGAUUCAUGUUAGAUCGAGUCAAUUUGAAAUUGGGCUCUUUUUUUCCCCCUUUUCAGUCGUAAUGAAACAUUCCCUUUUUGUGGUAGGUGUUUUUGGAGUAUGCUGAUGUCGAGAGUGCCAACAAAGCUCGUCAAGGAUUGCAUGGAAGAAGAUUUGGUGGGAAUCAAGUAGUUGCUGUGUUUUAUCCAGAGAAUAGGUUCUCUCAAGGUGAUUAUGAUGGUUAAGCGGUGGCCGCUACUGGUUUUGAAGUUACCUUAGAGAUGCUUGAGUACCGUUAUAGGCUUGAUGCGUGCUAUCCCAUAACUCGUACAAAAUUAGGAAGUGAUACAGAUAUAUUAUUUUGGUUUAAGCUUAGUACUCAGAUUUAUCUCUUGGAUUUUAGGGUUGCAUUUGUACUUGGAUUUUUGGAAUGAUUAUCGAACUUCGCUUUUGAGUCUUGAGUGUCACCUUGAGUCUUCGAUUUGGAAUGUCGAGUUAGGUUUAAAUUUUAAUUAUGGGUUUCUGCGACAGUAACUGAAAUCACACAAGAUUAGGUUCUUCCAAACGGCCAAUGUCGGUCGCUUUAUUGGUAGGUUGCCUGCGGAGAAACGUUUUUGGUUAUAGAACAGAUAGCUGGGAUAGAACGAUUGAAAUAACGAUUUCAAGAUAUUGAUCCGAGAUGCAUCUUAUCUUAAUCUAAAUUGGGAUUUGGCUGGUUAUUGAGACUAGUGGAAAAUUAUGUUGAGAUGCCGAUUGAAAAGUCGUAAUGUUUAAUUGGAAAGGCAACCUGGGAUUGAGUUCUGAAUAGCUUGAAAAGGAACAAGACGUUACAUUCAAAACCCCCUUAAAGUUUAAGAAAUUGCACUUAUCUCCCCUAGUGUUGUAAAAUUAGUCCAAGCAAUAACUCUCACAUAUUGCUUUUUUUUUUUUUUUUGAAGGACCCUCACAUAUUGCUUUACACCAUUAAGCACAAAAAAAAUUUUUUUUUUAAUAAAACAAUAUAAUGAUACAGAUAAGCAACGGCAAGUUAUUAUUGUUUUCUCUGUCCAAAACUCAUGUCCUUCUAUAGAAUUAAACCUUCAUGCACAGCACAACCAGCAACUCUUUUGCUUAAUUCCUGGACUGACCCAUGCUGCUAGCCUCCUCUGUUGCCUUCAUCGCCCAAUUACCCUAAAACUUUCCUUAAAUUUUCCUUAAAACUUUCCCUUUAUUUACGAAGCCAUGCCUUCCCAAAAUCAUUACUAGUUACGAAUCCUCAAAAGAUCCAUAACAAAACACCUAAAACCCUAGAAGAUGUCUUCCCGUCUCGCCCUCCACCACGGCCGCC
rnacentral:lncRNA from 1 species